rnacentral:lncRNA from 1 species
CAGGUAAGUUGAGCAUUAAUUUUUUUACCUCAUGUUGUAAUCCGUAGAAAAAUUGGCUAAUAAGUGCAGCAUCAUGCCACUUGAUAUCAGUUGCAAAUUAUCGAAAUUGUGAAGCAUAUAACAUUACUAAUCGAUUGCCUUGUCGUAAAAUAUGAAUCUUAUUGGUUGUAACACGAAUUGCAUCAUGUUCUCCAUACAUGGAUCGAAACUCUGCCAAAAAAGCCUCUAGAUUAUCUAAUAUUGGAUCUCGUCAUUCAAGAAAAGAUGAAAACCACGAUAGUGCUGAACCUGAAAGAAGCAUACCAAUGAAUCUAACUUGCGAUCCUGGAGUUGGAUAGCUUUGGGGUUGAAGUUCAAUCACAAGUUGUACUUGAUUGAUAAAUCCUCGAAACUUGGAUCUGGUGCCAUCAAACUUCUCGGGUAGGGCAAUUCUUGAUUCUCUAACAUUUGAAGGGCGUUCCACCAUAGGAGAAAGGAGAUGGUUUGGUGCAGAUGUUGAAGCAGCUCCAACCAUUUUUAUAUCUUCACUUCCUGCCAAUCUUGUUACUCCUUGUACUGGUAAAUUGAAUUGAUGCAUCGCAAGCAUUAACUCUUUCAAUUGCUCUUGCAUUUGUGCCAUUACACUCUUCAUUUCAACACGUUCUGCCAUGAUAAUACUUAGAAGAGAGAAGAUGUCUAAUAUCGCUCAAGACAAAUAGAAGAGAGGACUUGAGAACAAAGAAAAUACUAAGGACAAUAUCAGUUUAAAAGAGGAUAAUCUGCAACUUCUAAUAUGCUUAUAUCUUAUCAAGAAAAAGGGGUAAUCCACUCUUAAUCAAGAUUAGACAAAGCUCUCAUAUUGUAGGUGUACUCUUGUCAAUCUGUCAAGGAUAAGAACUGGAUGAAAAAACAAUUCAGACAAGUGAGCCUUCACUCAAAACGAGGUAACAAAAUAUAUAUAAAUAAGUAUAUAUAUUGAAAGAGAAACUGGAAUGGCUAUUGCCAAAAGACAAGAAAACUAGAGACCCUUGAAACUAGAUUGGAAGCAAGAAAGGAGUUGACAAGAGUGAAGAAGCCUUCACUCUUGUCUCUAUAUAUACUAUCUAACUAGGGGCUACAUGGCGACAUUCUAUAGGACCUCCAAUAUGUGUUGGCUUUGUAGAACACAUGCCUUGACUUAGAAGGUAAGUUUUUCUACGUGUGGGCUACAUAGUUAGCUUGAUCUUCAAGCUAACAAUAUGUGUGGCACAUGGCCAACUUGUUGACCACGUUUCUAAUCCAAAAAGUCAAUUAAAGACACCUAUGAAGUCAAAGCAGCAUCUAUGAAGCUUCUAAGAAGCUUCUAUAUUAAAUACUAUAGAAUUAACUUACUUUUAUCUACUUUUACUUACUUCUAUCUAUUUGUAUAUGUAAUUACUAGCUUACAUGAUUAUGUCCGUGACACAUGCCUUUUGGACUUACAAAUGCAUCAGUAGCAUUCCAACAUCUAAUGAAUGAUGUCUUUUAGGAGUUUUUAGAUGAUUUUGUUGUUUGUUACCUAGACGAUAUUUUAAUUUAUUCUAAGAACACAAAAGAAUAUGAACUUCAUGUUUAUCAUGUGGUACAAAAAUUAAGAGAUGCGAGACUCUAUGUCAAGAUAAAAAAAAGUAUGUAUUUUACACUACUCAAGUUGACUUCUUAGGAUAUAUCAUUUCAAAUGAUGGACUUAUGAUGGAUCCUAAAAAAUUUCAAGCUAUUAUGGAUUGGAAGAUCUCAAAAAUGGUAAGAGAUGUCCAAUGCUUUUUAGGAUUUGUCAAUUACUAUCGAAUCUUCAUCAAAGAUUUUUUUCAAGUUGCAGCUCCACUUAUACGUUUGACUUGUAAAGACAAACUUCAAUGGAAUGAAGAAGCGGAAGAAGCAUUUAAAGCUUUGAAGACAGCCUUUGUUUCUGCACUAAUUUUGUAUCAUGUCAGUUUUUCUAAGCCAUUUUUUAUAGAAAUAGAUUCAUCAAACUUUGCUUUGGGUGUCGUAUUUUUACAAAUGGGAACAAAUAAUAAACUUCAUACAAUAGUUUUUCAUUCCAAAAAAUUUUUAGCAAUCGAGAUCAACUACAAGAUCCACGACACAAAACUUAUUGCAAUUAUGGAUUUGUUUUAAGAAUGGUACUAUUAUCUAAAAGAUGCUCUUGGUCCAGUCACCAUAUAUACGGAUCACAAGAACCUUGAAUAAUUUAUGCCAAUACGUGUUUUGAAUUUUUGCUAAGCCUAUUGGAGUAUGUCUUUGUUGAGAUUCGAAUUCACAAUCACUUAUUGAUCAAAAAAAAAACAAGGUUUAUCACAUGCACUCUCUAGACGAUCUUACCUUGCACCAAAGGAAAGAGAUGUUGCUUUUGAUCAACAAUGGAUAAUUCUCUUGAAGCCAAAUCAUUUUCAUCUUCAAGUAAUGAAAUCAAUACUAACUAUUGAUUCAAAUUUUAUUAAGCAAUUUCAGUUAAGUAUGUCUUCUGAUCCUUUUAUUUGUGAUAUUAAGAGAAACCCUUUUAAGUCUCAUGUUACUUCCAAGUUUGAAUUCAAGAACAAUCUACUAUAUUUCAAGGAUUACUUAUAUGUUCCAAAAGCUAAAGCUCGAUUACGUGUUCUUCAAGCUCAUCAUGACUUUUCUAUAGUAGGACAUUUUGGGUACAAUAAAACUUUGGAAUUAAUAUUCAAGGAUUUUUGGUGACCCCAAAUAUGGAAGGCAAUCAAAGAUUUUUUUACAAUCUUGUGAUAUUUUUUCAAGAUCAAAAACUCCUCAUCAUCGACCUUACGGACUUCUUCACCCAUUAUCCAUUCCAGAAUAACCAUGGUCUUCUGUUUCUAUGGAUUUCAUCAUGGAUCUUUUAAUCUCAUGUUCUUAUGACUCUAUAUUUGUGAUAGUAGAUCGUUUUACCAAGAUGGCACAUUUUGUACUAUCUACAAAAUCCAUCAUAUGUAAAGAAAUAGCUAAGUUCUUUCUUGACAAUAUCUAUCGCUAUCAUGGAUUAUCCAAAGAUAUUACAUCAGAUAGGGGAACUCAAUUUGUAUCAAGAUUUUGGCGGACUCUUUUCAAGAUUCUAAAAGUGGAUAUAAAACUAUCUUCGACAUUCCAUCCUCAAAUCGAUGGACAAAUGGAGCAUGUUAAUGAAGUUUUGGACUAAUAUUUAAGAUGGACCUUCAACUAGCAACAAGAUGAUUGGACAAUUCUUUUGCCAUUGGCAGAGUUUGCUUAUAAUAACACGGUACAUUCUUCUACAAAAUAAACACCUUUCUUUGUCAAUUAUGGUUGUCAUCCACGACUUGAUACUUUUGACUUUUCAAAAGUUGAUAAUCCUAUGGUGAAAGAUUUGACAAAUCAUUUGUCAAAGGUACAUGCAACAAUGAAGGUGCUAUUAAAAGAAGCUCAAGAACAACAAAAGAUCAAUGCGGAUGUCUAUCAUAAGGAACAACCAUCAUUUCACAUGGGUGACAAGAUAUGGUUAUCUUGUCACAAUAUCAAGACCACUCAUCUUUGUGACAAGUUGGACUAUCGAAAGCUUAGACCAUUUUUUAUUUUUACACAAAUUAAUCUAGUUGCAUAUCGUUUACACCUAGCAAAGUCAAUGAAAAUCCAUCCAAUAUUCUACGUAUCUCUUCUUGAACCAUACAAGUCAGUGGACAUACCAAGAAGAAGACAAGCUCCACCUCCUCUUAUAGAAGUGGACAAUAAUGAAGAGUUCAAAGUGAAAGAAAUCCUAGAUUCAAGGCAAUAUCCAAAUAAAUUGGAAUAUCUUGUUCAGUGGUACAGAUAUGAUAUUAAUGAAUGCACAUGGGAGCUAAUAAAGAAUCUUUACAAAUAUUGAAAAGGUAGUGGAGGCUUUUCUUUGACAACAUCCAUCAAAAUCAAGAUGAAAAUCUUUCUUAUAAAAGAAACAAGAUCUAAGUAAGAUAACAUUCUACUUCCAAUCCUUGUUUGUAGCUUCUUUGUACUUGUGACGUUGAAGAGAUAGAGAACCAACAACUAGUAGAUUUGACUCAAGAGCCUUCAUUUCCUGACUUGCUAGAGGAGACAUUACAAUUGUCACAACCUUCAAGACAAUGCAAUCUAGAUGAAGAUCCUCAAGAACAAUACAUUUUUUCUCAAAUAGAUGGUGAAAUACAAUGCGUUUGGUAUCACGACCUCGAAAGGGACUCCCAAUGUUUGGUGAUUUUACUAGAGGUAAGAACAACUCCUGACGGUAUUCCAAAUAUUUUAUUUGAAGGAAGUUAUGAAGGCCUCAUCAACAAUUGAAUAACUGGGUGGUCUUCCUGUCCUGAUAUAGAACACUAUCGAUGGUUGAGAGGCCCUAUCAAUCAUCUUUGAAGAAAACAAAGAUCAAAGUAUGUGGCAAAUACAAUUUGCCGUAUCUUGGACUUCCUCAACAUGUGAUCACUACUCUUCGUGGAACUCAUCUCUAGAAGGGGGGAUGAUGUCAUGGACAUGUAUUUACUAUAAUUAUUAGUUAGGUGAUAUAAAUAAGUAAUAGUAGAUAAAAGUAGAUUAAUUUCAUAAUAUCUUGCAGAGAAGUUUUUUAGAAGCUUUAUAAAUGCUGCUUUGACUUUACAUGUAUUUAUACUUCAUUGGUAGGUUACAAAUUUGGUCAAAAAGUUAACCACGUGCCACACAUGUUUGUAGCUUGUAGAACAAGUUGACUAUGUGGUGCCCAAGUAAAAAAACUUACCUUACAAGUUAAGAUACGUGUUGUAUAAAAUCAAUAUGUUUUUGGAGGUCCUAUAGAACGUUGCCACAUAGCUCUUAGGUAGAUAGUAUAUAUAGAUGCAAGAAUGAAGCCUUCUUUACUCUUGUCAACUCCUUUCUUGCUUCUAGUCUAAUUUCAAGGGUCUCUAGUUUUCUUGGCUUUUGGCAAUAGCCAUUCCAAUUUCUUUCUUAAUAUACAUAUUUAGUUAUUUCUAUUUUGUCAUCUUUCUUUGAGAAAAGUCUCACUUAUUUAUUUAUUUUUAUCAAGUUCUUGUCUUUGACAAUGAUAAGCUUUAUCUAAUAGUUUUUUAUUCUAGGAAAUUUUCAGUAAUUAAGAUUAACUAUGAAAUCCACAAUAAAGAAUUUUUUAUAAUUAUGGAUUCAUUUCAAGAAUAGAAUCGUUAACUAAAAGGUACUUUUAGUUUAAUUACCAUAUAUACAGAUGACAAGAACCUCAAGUAUUUUAUGUCAACAUGCAUUUUGAAUUAUUGCUAAGCCCAUUGGAGCUUGCUUUUAUCAAGAUUUGAUUUCAAGGUCACUUAUUGACCUAAAAAAUAACAAGGUUUAGCAAAUAUCUUUUUUAGAAAUUCAUAUCUUAUACCAAAAGAAGGUGACACAAGUUUUUGAUCAACAAAAAAUGAUUUUCUUGAAGCUAGAGUAUUUUCAUCUUUGUGCAAUAAUAUCAAUAUUAAUUGUUGAUUCAACCUUUAUCAAAAAAAAUCAAUUCAAUAUGGCCUUUGAUCCUCUUGUUUAUGAUAUUAAGAAUAAUUCUUUUAAGUCUUGUAAUACUUCCAAAAUUAAGUUUAAGAAUAAUCUAUUCUAUUUUAAAGAAUGAUUAUAUAUUCUAAAUGACAAAAGACAAUUAUGUGUUCUUCAAGCUCAUCAUAACUUUCCAAUAAUUGGAUAUUUUGGAUAUAAUAAAACUUUGGAACUAAAAUUGAAAGAUUUUUAGUGACUUCAAAUAUGAAAGGAAAUUAAAGACUUUGUACAAUCAUGUGAUAUUUGUAUAAGAUCAAAAACUCCAUAUCAUCGACCUUAUGGACUUUUUCAACCAUUAUCUAUUUUGAGACAACCUUAGUCUUUUGUUUUUAUAAAUUUUAUCAUAGAUCUUCUUGUCUUAGAUUUGUAUGAUUCUGUAUUUGUGAUAGUAGAUUAUUUUACCAAGAUAGCAUAUUUUGAAUCAUAUAUAAAAUCUAUCAUAGGUGAAAAAACAACUAAAUUUUUUUUUUACAAUAUUUAUCACUAUUAUGGAUUGCCUAAAGAUAUUAUAUUGGAUACAAGGACUCAAUUUGAAUCAAGAUUUUAGAGAAUUAUUUUUAAGAUUCUAAAGGUAGAUAUAAAAUUUUCUUUAGCUUUUCAUCCUCAAAUUGAUCGGCAAACAAAAUGAAUGAAUCAUGUUUUGGAGUAGUAUUUGACAUAUAUUAUGAAUUAUCCUCAAAAUGGUUGGAAAAGUCUUUUGCUAUUAGUAGAAUAUGAAUAUGACAUUAAAAAACAUACAUAGAAACCAAUAAAGAAUUUUGCAAAUAUAACAAAGAAGAUUGAGGCUUUUCAUUGAUGACAUCUAUUAAAAUCAAGAUAAAGAAUAGUAAAUCUUUGCUAUAGAAGAAACAAGAUCUGGAGAAGAUAGUAUUCUACCUUCUAGUCUUGUUUGUAACUUUUAUGUAUUUAUGAUAUUAAAGAGAUAGAAAAUCAACAAUCAAUAAAUUCAAUUCAAAAACUAUGAUUUGUUGACUUACCAAAUAAGACAUUGUGAUUGUCACAAUCUUCAAGAUGAUGUAAUCAAGAUAAAGAUCCUUAAAAAUAAUAUAUUCUUCUUCAAAUAGAUGAUAAGAUAUAAUAGGUUUGAUAUCACAUCUUUGGUGAUUUUAUUAGAAAUAGGAAUAAUUCUAGAUGGUGUUCCAAAUGUUUUAUUUAAAAAAAUAUAUGAAGGCCUCAAUAAUGAUCAAAUAACAAGGUGAUCUUUUUGCCAUGGUAUAGAAUACUAUUGAGGACAUAUAAACCAUUUUCAAAGAGAACAAAGAUUAGAGUAUGUGGCAAAUAUAAUUUGAUGCAUCUUAAAUUUUUUCAACAUAUAAUGAUUACUUUUUAUGGAACUUAUUCCUAAAAAAGAGAGUAAUGUCAUGAAUAUACAUAUUUAAUCUAAUAUUUAUCUAUAUAUUUAAAUAAAAGUAAAUAAAAAUAGAUUUAUUUUAUAAUAUUUUUUAAAAAUGCUUCUUAAAAGCUUCAUAGAUGCUACUUUGAUUUUACAUGUAUUUAUGGUUGAUUGGUAGAUUAAAAACUUGAUCAAUAAGUUAACAAUCUAUUGGUAGUUUAUGAAAGGACUAACUAUAGGGCAUACAUACAAGAAAAUUUACCUUGCAACUUAAGAUACUUAUAAAACAUUGCCACAUAACUCCUAGUUAUGAUAACAUGUUUUGGAGGUCUUAUAAAACAUUGCCACAUAGCUCCUAGUUAAGAGUAUAUAUAGAGGCACGAGUGAAACCUUCUUCACUCUUCUCAAUGCCUUUGUAAUAUUUAGUCUUGUUUUAAGACUUUCUAAUCUUCUUGUCUUUAGAAAUAGCCAUUCUACUUUAAUAUUAUAUCAUCUUUGAAAGUAUCAUGAAACUUUUUGAGUGAUACAAGAAUGUAUUGAAAUUUUAGUUCUUUGAGGUUCAUAUCUUUGACAAUUGUUGAGCUAUUGCAUAAAAAAGAAGAAGAUUACAUGAACAUGUUGAACAAUACAUGUAAGUACAUAAAAAAUAAAAUAAAAUAAAAUAAAAUAAAUAAAUAGAUGCAUUAGAUGAAUUUUAAAAAAUAACUUAAACAAUGUAGCAUUUAUAUGAAAUUUUUUUCCAAUUAGACAAUUAAGAAAAAGGAUAUAUGAAUACAUUGAAGAGUAUAGACAAUAAAAUAAAUAAGAAGUAAAAAGAUAUGGUACUAUGGUUAAUAGGAAUGAUGGUAUUAAAAGAUAGAUUUUUCAACUUAUGAAUCUUUGAAGAAAUGUACAAUAAAGGCAAAAGGCAUGAAAAAAAAAAAGCAAUCAUACAAGUACAACAAGAAGAAAGAUUAAGAGAACAUUAUAGAAUAGGAAAAAUUAGUGAAUAAAUGGAACAACUUCUUUACAAAUAUUAUAAUAAAAAAAUAUUAAAAGAUUGCCAUAAUGUUGAAAAUAUGGACAUUUAAUAUUUACAUUGCAAGGCACUCUAUUGUAUAGUUGAAUAAACCAUGCUAUUGAAAAAAACUAAAUCCAUAAUUUGGUAUAUGUUAACUUUAUAGAAAUAUUGAGCUUUUUUUUUUUAAAAGUAUUCUAUUAUUAAUUAGAUAAUUACUUAAUAGAAAAAAAUAAACAAAGCAAGAAAUUUUAGAAGACUAUUUGAUAGAGAGGAGAUAUUCUAUAAUAAAUUCAUGAAAGACAUCUUGCAUACUUGCCACUUCACUAUGUUAUUUUUUUUCCAUGUGAAGAAUAUGGAUAGCAUAAGAAAAUAAGAUAUAGAGAUAUGAAUACAAAUAUAGAUGGGAAUAAAAAUAUACAAAUUGUGCAUAUUAUUCAAAUAGAGUUUUAAUCAUAUCAAUUGUUUCUAUAAUUUAACAAAUACUUGACUAUCUUAUAAGAUAGAAAGUUGCUACAAAAACUUAUUAUAGAUGUUUGAGCAGCAAUAGAUCAUAAAUAGUUCAGAUACUUCAAUUUGAAUCAAAAUAGGAUUUAGGCAGAUAUAUAACAAGGAUUAGUAGAUAUUUUUAGACAUGGACAAAAUCAAAAAAUUGAUAUGCGGAACCUAGGGCACAUGAUAAUUCUUCCAUUGUCUCAUAUUAUAAAUAUAAGAAAUUUGUUUGAAAUUUUCAAAGAUUCUAUGCCAUUACUUAAUACUUUCAACAUUCAAAUAUAUUUAAGGCAAUGACAGCAAAUCCAUAUUAUUCAAAGAUCUCAAGUACAAUUUUUCUAUGAUAAAGGCUUGAUAAUCGUCUUGACUUAGUAGCAAGAGUAUUUAAACUCAAAUGUUGUAAAUUAAUUGAAAAUGUUUAUAAGCAUGACAUUUUAAGACAUAUGCUUAUAAGAAAUAAUACUAUUGAGUUUGCAAACAAAGUCUUUUCUACAUACACUUCUUAUUCUAUUUGAAUAAAAUAAAAAAAAUAAAAAAAAAAAAAAAAAGAUUCAUUGAUGUUAAUAAAAUUAUUUGUGAAAUAUUUUUUUAUUAAAAAAAAUGAUCUAUUUUUAUUUUAAAAAAUUAGUACUUGCAUAAUUUAUAGUCCAUGUAGACUUCAAAAUAUGCAAGCUCCAUAUAAGAAGGAUGGAACAUACUAAAAAAGACAUCUAAAAUAAUAUCAAGAAGUAACACCAAUAAAGGGUGAUGGCUAUUUCCAAUAUUAUGGAAAGAAUAAUAGAAGAACUUUCAAUAUUGAAAAUCAUAUUAUAGAUAAUCAAGUUGUUGUUCCAUACAAUUACAUUCUUAGAAAAAAAUUUAAUUGUCAUAUUAACAUUGAGGUUUGUGCUUUGGUUUGUACUAUAAAAUAUAUUAACAAAUACAUCUACAAAGGGCAUGAUUGUACCACAAUACAAAUUGAAAAUGAGGAAGACAAAGUCAAGUAAUAUAUUGAUGCAUGAUAUAUUGGAUUUUCAAAGAUAGCAUGGCAUUUGUUUGAAAUAAAAAUGCAUGAAGAAGUUUUAAAUGUGGUUUAAUUGGCAUUGCAUCUUCUUAGAAUGCAUUAAGUAAUUUUUUAUCCAAAUGAUAAUGUAGCUAAAGACUUAGUCCAUGGAAAGUAGCAAAAAAAAAAUUUGAUAACAUUUUUUAAAAUAUAUGGAUUUAUGAAUAUUGCUUGGUAAUAUAAAUAUCAAGAAUUUUUAUAUCAUUUUAUAUAGAAAAAGACUUCAAAAAGCAGACAUUAAAACAACAUAUAUUUACAAUUAAAAGGUUAUAUUUUGGUGAUUCUAUUGCAAGAAUAAGAUUCUAUCUUUGGCCUUUUUUAAUAAUGGUACAUAAACCAUGUUUAUUUGAAGAUUUGGAUAUUAUAAAUAGAGUGCUUCAACCAAACUUCAAGAGUGCAUGCCUAGAAAUAGGAUUAUUAGAGGAUGACAAUGAGUGAAAUCAAUUCUUACAAAAAUCCUUUAUAAUAAAAAAAAAAAAAAAAAGAGGCAAUUAAGAACAUUGUUUGCAAUUAUUUGUCUAUAAUAUUUACUUGCACAUCCAAAAGAGUUAUGAAACAAGUUUAAAGAAUUUUUUUGUGAUGAUGUAGCUUAUCAAUUGACUCAAUUUAUGGAACUAAAAAUCUAAUAAAAAAAAAGAAAUUAGAUUAUAGAUUGUUUCUUCUUGUUAAAUUCCUUCAAGAAUCAAGAAAAAUAACAGUUUUUUUAUAGAUAUUAAUACAGAAAAUAAAUUAGAAUAAAAAUGCUACAAAUUGAUUAUUUUUGAAGCAAUUAAUAUAGGAUUGUGACAAGCCAAAAAAAUAGUAAAAGAAUAUGUGUCUAAAUUGAAUAAUGAACAAUGCACCAUAUACUUGGAUAUCUUUGCUUUAGUAAAUAACAAUCCUCAAAAGUUUUAUUUUUAAAAGAACUAGCAAAAAGUGGAAAAUUAUUUGUUUAUAAUAUAAAAAAAAAUGAAGUUCUAAAGUGAUGAAAAUAUUAUUUUGUAUGUUGCUUCUUCUAGAAUUAUAACACAACUUUUAAGUGGUCAAAAAACUACUUACUUUAUGUUUAAAAUUUUGCUCUAUCUUAAUGAAGAUUUAUUUUGCAAUAUUACAAAGAAUGCAUCAUACACAAAUUUCCUAAAAAAGAUAAUUCUUAUUAUUUAGAAUAAGGUAUCAAUACAACAUUGCCAUUAUUUUGAGGUAGUCAAUGAAACUCUCUAAGAUAUAAAUAACACUAAUAAGUUAUUUGGCGGAAUUAUUGUAGUCUUUGGUAGAAAUUUUCAACAAUUUUUUCUUGUUAUUGUUAAAGACUUAAGAAAAGAGAUUGUUGAUGCUUCUUUGCAACAAUCAAAGAUUUGGUCUCAUAUUAAAGUGUGCAAGUUGACCAAAAAUAUAGAUCUAGAAGAUGUAUUUAAUGAGAAUCAAUUAUUUGCUGAAGAACUUUUGAGCAUAUGUAUUAUGCAAAGCUAUAACUUUUGAGAAUUUUUUUAUGAUACAAUGUUUAUAUUCAAUUUAUCUAAGAAUAGUUUCUAUUUGAAAAUUGAAAAUAAAUUAACAAUUAUAGAUCCAUCAAAAAGUAUGGUGAUUCUUUAAAUAGGUCUUACAUCAAAUGAUUUGAUUCAAAUUAUCUAUUUUGGAUUAAAUGAGGUUGGGACACUUGGAAAUGAAUAUUUCAUUAAUAUAUAUAUUUUAUCUACAAAAAAUUAUGAUACUAAUGAUCUAAAUAAGCAUGCUAUAGAGAGAUUUUUUGAAGUUUCUUGUGUUUAUCUUGAAACAAAUGUAGUAAUUGUCAAAGAUUGUAUUGACAAUGAUAAUUUUUAUCUAACCAAGUAUUUGAAUAGCUUAAGUCCAUCUUGAUUGCCACCAUUUAGCUUAGAACUAAAGGUUGGACGUCAUAUUAUAUUAUUGGAAAAUAUUACUUUUCCAAAUAUGAUCUCGUAAAAAUAAUGAAGACAAAAAUACAACCAUAAAUGUAAUUUAUCUUAAUUUAUUUUUUUACUUGGCUAUUUAAGUUUUUGUAAUAAAUAAAAAUAAUAUUUUUCAAUUACAACGAAGAAGCAUAAAUGAUUCUAUUGAUAUGCAUAUGAUUUUUUUAUUUUUUUAUUUGUUUUCUUCUUGGUCAACAUUUCUUUAGGAGUGAUCAAUUUGGCAACCGCAAAUUAAACUUUUAUAGCUUUUUCUUGGCCAACCAUAAAAAUUUUCACUACAAUAUAUAUAUAUAUAUAUAUAUAUAUAUAAUAUCUGAAGUUAUAAUUUUAUUUUUAAAUAAUCAUAUUAAAUUUCUAUAAAAUAUUAAACCUUUUCAGAAUUUUUUGAGGACAUAAAAUAUGCUUAGAAUAGGUUGGUUCUCAUCAAAGUAUGUAUUUAGUUGUAUGUUUUAGUUUCUAAUGCAUUAAAAAAAAAAAAAAAAAAAAAAAAAAAAUUGUAGAAUUAAAUACUUUCAAAAAUAUACAAUGAACUUUGUAAGGGAUAUAAUAAUAAUUUAAAGAAAGAUGAUAAUAUAUAUACUAACUCUAAUUUGAUUAGACUUGAUACUCAAUAAUAAAAAAAUAACCUCACAGGAUAGAAAUAGUAUAUAGAUCAUUGUAAUAUUCAAUGCAAAAAACAGUCUCAAAUAGUUGCAAUUUCAUAAUUUUUAAUAUUCAUUUCAAAAAAUAAUUAUUAUUAACCUUCAAAAUAUUAUAGAGAUGUUGGUAGUCUUCUUUUUAAAAUGUAUUACGUAGAACCUCCCACAAAAUUUCAUGCUAUGUUUUCAACUUGUCACAUGCUCCCUUAUGAAUUGCAUUCAUCCUGUUUGGAUUUCAUGACAACUUGCCUUAUGGCCGCAAAACCAUCAAACCAAUUUACCCCCAUUAGUUACUUUUCGCUGAGGGCCUGCCAAGUGGCACUCCAUGACAGGUCUCCACCUGUCGCCAAAUGUAAAAAGCCUCCGUCCUCGGAUACCAAAUUUAGGGCUUUUGAGCACAUUGAAGGGACUAGAUGGCAAAUGGCAGGCGAGUCUAAAGCCAUAGAGCCCCAAAAUCCUGAGGAUAUACAGUAUUAAAAAAACUCAAUUCCUUGCAACCCAAUUCCUCGCUGCCACAGCGCAACAAUGCCCACUUUCCAAAAUCAUACUUUUGUGCGAUGUCAAACUCCUUGGAUUAUCUUCGGGCUUUGGUGUUUUAGGGUUAGGAUUCAGGGCUCUACAGUGAUUCGCGAUCUUUGCAUGUGCGGUUGUUUUUCCCAGCUGGAUUUGGAAAGCACGAAGCUGUUCUGCGCGGUAGAUAUAGAGCACAUGUUUCUGAACUUUAAACGGUGGCCGUGUUCAAAGAUCCCUCCUCAUCUGCAGGCAAAAGGCAGGGGAAACAUGAGUUGUAAACGCAGAGUUAAUUGACGAAGUCUCUGUUGCAGUCUACGGUCCAGUGCAAGUCCAUCAAGCCUCGGACUUUGUACAGGAAAUUGCUUUCUUCUGGGGAAUAACAAGAAAUUUCACGUCGUGCUUGGUCGUAAGUUGGGUUGUUUUCUAUUUCAUACUUUCUGUUAUUGGACUAGAUUAAACAAAAAGUUAAGCUUUCUCGUGGACAGCGAGCCUUCGCAGCGGUGAACUUCACGCAUUCAUCUCUUGUGCUGCGAUGGAGCCGUUCAUCCGCAAAGCGAUGGAGCCGUGCAUCAUUUUGUGUAGCGUUGGAUUACAUCCCAAGCUCCAGCGAGUGUCAAGCCAGCUAGGUGAAAGCAGUGCCGAAAAUGUGGUUCUGUCAGCGGACGAAGCGUUUAUUACGUCCCGCUAAACUAGAAAAAUCUGAUAAGGCUUUGCCAAAUGGCCCCGCGGUGGGUUUGACUCGUGUCGUAGAAUAUACGCCCCAUAUCCGCAGCGAACAAUUCAAACUCCGAUGCCCAAUGUGGAACAUCCGAGGCCCACGUCUCGUGCACCAGGGACUCGAUUUGGAGACAAAUAGAGGCUUUGAGCUUGCGCCUUCAGACUCAGACGAUUCUAGACUGUCGAGCCACGCGGAAGUCAAAGUGGGAGUAAGUGAAUCGAGAGAGAGUUAUAGAGCAGAGAAGGAUUGUGAGUCUGUCUGAGGUUUGGUUGGUGUUGUGGGUUGAUCUGAGAGAGAGCGACUGAUCAUGGGCGCAGGAGGCCGCAACUGGCAGCUGCUCAAGCAAAAGUUUAGGGUCUCAGCAUGUGCUGGAGUGGACAAGAGUAGGAUACAAGACGCGGAACGAAAGGAGCCGGAGGAUGAUGAAUUGAGCGUUCGGGAGAAUGAGGAGUCGGGAGAUGAGGAGGACGACGACUCGUCGGAGACACAAUUGACAGUCCUGGCAGGAGACUUGUCAUUAGAGGCUCCAGUGAAAGUAAGCCUCGGUCGAGUAUUGCAGUUAUUGUGUGUUGUCUCCUUCGUGUUGCCGCACUGGACUCCACUCGGGCGAAAGUCGAGGGUUGGAACAUGAAUUUUUUCUCUCUUCGGCUACAUUGGAAGGCUACAAGCUAAUGCUAACUGAAAGCUUAGUAUUUCUACUCUCCGAAACGAACCGAUGUCUGGGUAUGCAAUGGAUUGAAUGGAGCAAAACUUUUGUGGCUGCCAUUCAGGUCUUGUGUCUCAUUUGCUUGAUAAACACACGAUGACGACCACCCUUUUGGCCAUUGUAGUUGGAUACGUCCUCAAGCUGGAUCAGAGUUGGGUUUCCCCACGUUCACAAAUUGUAACGUAACGUAACCAAUUGUUAAUCAACCACUUGCAGGAGAAUUGGAGUGGGACUGUUACGAAAGAAGAACUCGGCAGGUCUACCUGGACGUUCUUACACACCUUAGCAGCGCAGGUAAAUCACAAUACUUCGCUUUGACACGAUGAGAGGACACUCAGCUCACCGUAGUAUGUCCUUGUUGCGGCAUCGAUUGCAGAAUCUCGCCAUUUGUUGUUAGCAGUUAGCGAAAAGAAAAAUGCCUCCAUUCUGGGAAUGUUUAGAAAUAUGUCAUCGAUGUCAUGACGUACAAUCCUCUUUAACGUGCCAUACUUGUCUCAUGCACACAGUUCCCCAUACGGCCCACAAAGCAACAACAGAAGGAUGUUAAAGAACUGGUGAGCACGAUGCUCUGCUCGUGUUUUGUCUUCAAUUUUGGCCUGUGUUGUUCUCACAUGCAAUGUUUUUUUUAUGUUUCAGAAGUUGAGGGAUGUAUACAAAAGGGAGUUUCGUGUGCCGAUGUACUUUUUGUUCCAAAACGUUGAAUAUUUGGUUGUGUGGGACUGCAUUGUAGAUGGCUAUAAUCUCCCGAUUAUACCCGUGCAAAACUUGCGCCGAACAUUUCAAGGAGAUUUUAAAGUAAGUCUUGAGCACUGCGCCCCUCUGCUUCCUUAAGCCACGUCUUGUCUUUGCCAAGUAAUGGGACUGUGACGCAGCCCGCCUCUCCAACGUGUAUUCUGAAACUGAUCGCUCUUGUUGCAAGCAGAACAAAUCCGCCAAAAGCAAAAUCUGGUCUUGACUUAGUGCAAUGGAUGUGCCAAGUACACAAUCUAGUAAACAAAAGGUUAGUAACCCUAUCAAUCAUGUAAAAAAUCAUAGUCUGCUUACAUUGAAGACUUUCAUCUUGAAUUCCUUUUGCUGCCAAUAUCCACAUUCCGCAACGCAUCUAUGUUCUGAAUUCUCGUAGAUCAUUCAAUAGAAUCCAUACCAACAAGUUCUCUUAUUAUGCAACGUGAAGACCAACCCCGUGGCGUAAUUAACUUCUGAUGUGUUUGUUGUGUGAAAUGCACCAGUUUGGGAAAGCCACAAUUCCGCUGCGAACAAGCAGAGUUAAGAUGGGGAACUUUCAACUGCGACGGAGCGUGUGACCUUCAUUCUCGCCCAUGAUAUGAGACUCAGUUGCGUCUCUUCCUGUACCUUAACUGGUUUGAUCCAGAAGCAGUUUUUUAGAUCUGUGCUGCGACGAGUUCGACUUCAAGCUACGAAUUCAAGACCAUUUUCGGUAUCACUUGAGUCACCCAACUCGUUGGUUGCCUUUACACCGCCCUUGCAAGCCCAGUCUCUAUUGUAAAUAUAUCGCGGCAAAUUAGUUUUGAAGGAGGGCUGCUAUGACAAAACCAAAGAUUGAAGACACGAUUUGUCCUCCAUUUCUGCACCAACAUUCACAUCCUUCACAGUUCAGUUUACACACAAAACCCACGUUUUAUUAGAUGGAUGUUAGCAUUAGCUUGUAGAAUAGCAAAUGUUGCUGCUGCCGCUGAAGACCAUAUCUGUGCAUGCUGCCGAAGACAUUAUUUUAUGCCUUUUUAAACCUUCGAUUAUCCAAUGCAAAUGGUUCCGAGCUUUGGAACUUUCAAAUCAGAAAAAAGAGUGUUAGAAUUGGUGUAGUUUAUUGUUUUGAGAUUAGUCCAUUAUUCUCAAAAACCAGCCUGUAGAAUUGUAGAAAUGAAUCAUGUAAUGCCAUACAGUAAUAGGACAUUACCUUCGCUUCUUUCAUGGCGAGUUAUCUUCUUCAAAAUAAGAGUGAAGAGAUGUUUUUGUAAUAAUGCAUGUUGCUUUGUUGUUACAGUGACCUUUAGUUAUACGAAUGGCUGCGAGAAUAUGUUUCAAAUGGAUAGAAGUUUAUAAAGUUUUCUUUUGUCUUUUUCUUAUAUUUUCCACUUUUGAAGCAUGAUAAUACACUUUGAAAAUAGAUAGAAUAUGUUGCUUAACUGCAAAUACUUUAGGAAAAGUUGAGUAGCAAAGUGAUUAUUACAAAUACUUUAAACCACCUCGGAUUUUGUGGAACUUUUAAGAUAUUAUUAAAGUCAAACUAAAUUUUCUUUUGAACAUUUUUAUAAAGUUGUUUAUGGAUGUAUGCAAACAUUUAGAAAGAACACACGUUUAGAAUCUUAGAUAAAAUCAUAUCCAUAUGAAGCUUUUACAACUACCAUCUUUCAAAAACUCAAAUAAAUUAAAUAUAAAAAUCUAGAAAAUGCUAUAUUUCUUCAAUUUCUUUCUUUAAUUUUAUUUAUAAUGUAUAUGUGUGUGUAUAUAUAUAUUAUAGAAGAUUUACAAGUAAAUUUUACACUACUUCUAAAACAUAUAAAAUAAUAUUUUAAAAAAUAAUUAUUAAAUUAAUUUUAAAGUGUAAAAUUCUUGUAAAUCAAAAACAAUUAAUAGGAUUCUUGCACGAAAACAAUUGAAAUGUAUUAAUAUAUGUUAAAUAUAAUUAUUACUUAUUAAAAUUGGAUAUUUUUAAUUUUUAUCAUUGGUAUAAUAAUAUUUUUCUAAAUAAAUAAACUAAAUUCGUUUUAGUACAGUUUUAAAACAACAUAAUGAUAAUUUCACAACUACUGAGAUUUUGUUUUUAACAGGCCAUAUCUAUCAUAUCUUAAAAUAGAAAAUAUUAUUUUUAAUAAAUGAAUGACAAUAAAUUCAUUGAUUCAUUUUAUUUUUUAAGAAAUUUUUCUUGUAUAAAUAGUAUUACCCCAAAAACAAUUGUUCAAAUUGUAUCAAUCGAAAACCUGGUUACUCCAAAAACAAUGGUAAGUCUAAUUGAUUUUUCAUUAAAAUAUUCAAAAGAUAUGUAUUUUAUUAUUUCCAAAAUAUAAAAUUAUAAAGAAGUUAAAAAAAAAUUAUUAAUUUAUGUAAAAGUAAGAUUCUUAGUUGAAUAUCAAAUAAGAUAUCAAAUAUUAAGAGUUAGAUAAAGUUAGUGCAAGUGGCAACAAGCAACAAAAUUGAGAAUCAAAAAUAAAGAGGUCAAAGAUUUCCUUUAGCCUUAAUUUCAAAUACAUUUUAUUGGUCAAAUAAGAAACUUAAAAAGUAAAUUUAAAAAAUAAUAAAUUGAAAUUGUCGCAUUUAUGAGUGGAAUUAUAAUAGGCAAGAAACUUGAUGUAGGUGUAUGAAUAGAAGUGGUAGGCACCUACCCUCAAAUAGUGCAUGCAAUUCUAGGACAAAGAUUCUUUUAGUGAUACUUACAACUUGUAAAUCUUAGUAGACUAAAGUGCAGAAGAAGGUGGCUUGUACUUUUUUUAGCUUUAGAAUUCUACAAAUCAAAUUGCUUAAACACUAAAUAUUUUAUUUUUUAAUUUUAAUUUUAAAAAAUCAAUACUCAAUUUUUUAUCAUUUUAGAAGAUUUAUUAGAGUUUAGGUUUAGGUAUAAUAAAAAAAAUCAAUAUUAAAAUUAUUUUAUUUAAAAGGUUCUAAUUUAACAAGUAAAUAUUAAGUGCAGAAUACUGCCAAGAGACGAGUUGCAACUCGCAUUUGAUCGUGUAACUAGUACUUACAUGAUAUAUCCGCUGUUAACGAUUCAUCACAUAUAAAAUGAUUAAAACAUAGAGAACAAACCAGAAUUCCUAAGAUUGCAAUAGUGAUACAGCCGAAUAAUAGGGACAUUCGACUGUAGAAGUCUAAGAUCAGCUCACCAAAUGGCACCCGUUUGCACAAGACUGAUGCUGUUAUCCACCCAGAAAUGAAUCACAACUGGAGAACCUUUUCACUUGCCAUGCAGGGUGGAAUUUUGAGACUUGGAACUGUUAAAAUUCACUCAGCUCAACAAGCUGACAGCGUUUGUCUUUUAAUAUAUACCUGAAGUGAAAGACCAGUCUGUUUGCCUCACCCAUAAACGUCUGAUCUUCUCAGCAAAAAUUACUAUCUGCUAGUGUGCUUGAUUGUACAAUUCUGCCAACCUUCAAUAGCCUACAUUCGGUUUGAAGGCCUCUUCAAAGCAUGAUCCACUACCAUCCAAUUCAAGGCAAGCAUUACUCUUCACCGUCGAUACUUGAUCUGCUGUAGUUGGAUAUUCCAGAUGCAUGCCAAAAAUUAACCCGAAAGCAAGAGAUACAACCGUUCACUGUAGUUCCUCCUCACUGUCAUAGUCGUCAUCAUCACCAAAUGUGAAGACUGACGCAUCAGCAGCACUAGCUGCAGCAAUAGCCUUGAAAUCACUAGGUGCAACUGCUCCGCUUCUUGGACUUGCAUCAUGCCUGGAGAGCACCCCAGUAUCUUUCGAGUCGCUCUGAGAUCCCACCCCAGCUGUCGUCUUCCCUUCACCCAGAGAUCCUUCUACUUUCUCAGCAUCAAUUGCCUUCGCAGCCUUCGAGGAGUCUCCACCUUGAUGAUCACCAGCACUGAUCUCCCCAGGAACAGCCACUUUGGUAUCCUCUUGUACACCGGAAUCAUUGCCUGAUACAGUAUUACCUGCAUCAAGAUGCAUAUCUUUAGCAGAGCUUUGAGUUUUUCUGUUUACAGAUCCACAAGCUACUGCACCCCGAGCAAAUGCAAGAUUCCAACAAACUUGAACUCUCCGAAAGAGCCCUAAAGCAAUCGAAUGAGAUUUCAAAGUUGCAGAUACCACGAGAAGUCGUAAAUCAUAUCAACAAGAACCGCACAAUACAACAGCAUCGAUGGUGAAAGUCGAAAAUAAAACCAUAAUUGAUCACCCGGUGCUUGAUAAAGUAAGCAUAUGAAGCAUGCAGUCUUUACAUAUCUCAAUGGAACCUACCAUAUUCCCAUGAUACCAUUUGAUGGAUCAACACCCAUACCUUUUGCAUCAUCCGAUCCAUCUACAAGUUGUGAUGAAUUGCUUCCCUCUGUGCUUGCAUUCACUUGGAGGAUGGAAGCUGUGGACGCUUCUUUUGCAGCAGUUGUAGAUUGAAUUGCUGUUCCUUCAGCUGCUUUCUUCCUUGGAAUAGGUGCAUCAUGGUCUAAAAUGACAACUUCAACUUGAAGACCUGGCGAUGGAAGUCGUCUCUGCAUUGCCACCACGUAGAUAACAUAAUUAUUUCUCAGCAUGCAAGAUUCUACACCAUUUAGUCCAUACUCACAAAAUUAACAUGGUAGGCUAGAAGUAACCUUGAGAAUAAAAUGUACCUUUUCAAAGCCAUCGAGAUCUGAAGUUUCCAGUAUCUGCCUCGUUUCCAUCAUAUUGGUGUUCAACCAGCUGCAAAUUGCACUUCAAUUGUCAUUCUCAAGAAAACCCACUCCAUAGGACGGAUUCUACAAAUACAUAAAAUGAACACAAAAUCGCCGCUGACGGGAAGAGAACAAACGAUUUGACAACGUUUAGUGAAAGUUGUAGAUAAGCACACCAGUAGAAAUCACCAUGCCGAUCACUGAAUUGUAUUUUAAAGUCUCCAUUAAUAUCUGCCACACAUCGCUCUCCAGGAAGAGCAAAAACAAGUACGCCUUUUCUGGGUGCAUUGAACCAAAUAUCUUCUGACUGCACAAAGACGUCACCCGUUACUACAUCAAAUCUUACUAAAGCAGAGAUCCUAAAUACUCGGAUUCCCUCAGCACAAAAAAUAUUUGGUGUAGUUAAAUUGAAGUGCCCAUCUCACACAGAUCCCAAAACAGAAAAAAAUGAGCAGUAAAUUCCAAAGCUACCCAUGUUAUCAGUACGAAUACAUUCGUUCAAGGUACAGACCAGCAAGUCUUUAGUCCGAGGAUGUUUCUUGCUUGAAAAGAGCACACCUAGUCAAUGGGAAAAAGCUUUCAAACGUUAGCUGUACGUACUCCACUCCUCUCAAUUGCGGCACAUGCCAGAGUUUGGUUGAUGUAAGCUUUAUUAUCUGAUCAUGUUAACCAGGAAGGGAACUCGACUUGACAUUUAUUUUGAUCCGAGCUGAUGAAGUUCAGAGAAAUACGUGGUAUUUGAUCAAACAUUAACCGAGUAGAAGAAUUCGGAAAAGUUGGUAGUACCAUUGUGGUCAGAAAUGGUGACGCCGGGCCGCACCCAAUAAGGACAUUUGUGCAGCCUUAUACCUCUCAAAAUGCACCUGUGAAGACCAGGAACGAAGCAUAUCACAAACAUUAGACCUUACAUCUCACACACACGCACUGUGAUGAACAGAAAUAGGGAUGUGAAUGUAUAACAAAAGCGUAGAUUGCUUACUUCCUGCCUUGAGGGGUCUCUCCCUUGAACUCUUUCAACACACGCUCGAAGUAAUUCACAUAUCGCUGUAAAAAGGUCAAGGAAAUAAUUAAAUCCACCAAAAAUAAACUUCAAAUCAAAAGCCACAUCUAGUAGAGAGUGCCGUGGUUACUAUGUUGUGGAAGAUUGAACAAAUUGACCUCAUUUCUCGCAGCAUUUUCAGACUAGUUCAGAAAGUCUGCCACCGAUUCCCCACAAUCAUAUUUACUAAUGGCAAGAAUUUAUUUUAAAGAGCUAGCAUACCAGAUCCAACAAAUACUAGGUUUAGGAAACUCACAAUCUGACUUGGAAGAACAAGGCCCUUGCCAUCCACACAACGUUUCUGGUUGUAGUAGUUAAUAGACUCUUCUGCAGAUUGAAAAAACUGCAAAGAAUAACACCACUCAGUAGUCAUAUGGAAAAUCAGAAGAAUGUCAAGUGAAUCACCCGACCUCCCAUAAAACUAGUACAAUAACUGAAUUCAUAUUAAGAACAGAAAAAGCUUCCGACAGCCAGGGUACGAUUAUGGUACAUUCACACAUGCUGACACCACUUUAGGGAAAAGAGUUGACAAUGAGACUUGCUUCAUUCCAUUCCACACAACGUACAUCAUAUAUUACAUGAUUAAACAUUGUACUUGACUUCAAAAUACAAAGAUCCAGAGCACUUCUAGGGAAUGAAAAACAUUGUACUUGUCUUCAAAAUAAGCUCGACACACUGUAUUUAUCGAUAUGUCUACGAACAAGAAAUGCCAUCUAAAAACUCAAGUUUGAUGAGCAGCUGAGCUGCUUGACUUCCCAAAGUUGAAUACCUUUAGAUACAUGAGAAGGCAAGUGAUCAUGAGGCCCGUGCGGGCCAUACCCGCUUUGCAAUGAACCACAACCACAUUCUCAAGAUCGCCCUUCAGCCAUGAGUAUGCACUUUGGCAAAAGGCCGCCACUAAUUGUAAUGGAGGACAAUUGUGAUCAUCGAAGGGGAAACAUGCCACCUAUAAUCACGAUGUCGAUAUCAUUAAAUGGAAGCAUUUGUAACGCAAAUCCUUGCAAUGGUGAUAUGCUAUCUGGCAUAAAAGUUUCAUUGAACCAAUAAAAACCUUUCACUACUUUGAAUUAGAAUACCAAUGCAAGCAGCUCAAUGCUCAUUUCAAAGCAAUUGAAGGUUACUGUAUAAAAUCUAGUCAGAUAGGCACCACUUCCUGCCUGCCACUAGAAACGGCCAGAUUUUUAGUGAAGGUGACAACAUUAAAACUGAGUGCACUGACCCACCUUUCCACCAAACAGAGAAGCAUCAUAGAGCCGCUCCGAACAAAGAUUAUACACUUUGUAUUUACCCUGCACGGUGAAAAUUCGACGUAGGAUUAGUCCCAAAACGAUGUGUUGGUACCAAAUAGAAUGCACAAGAAACUACAGAAUGGAACCUCUUCAGAAGAGCUUCGCAGUGUGCACACCUUAUGAUGAGUCUCAAAAAACUUCAAGACCUCCUCCAUGUGAUUGCGAUAAAACCCCUGCAACGAGGGAUGAAGACUGUUAAUAGGAGUUUAACCAGAAAAAAGAAAAAAGAAAUGCCGAAUACGAAACAACUAAGCUAAAUAAACUGAGACGUGUCAAGCAUUCGAAAAACGAUUCUGAAGAAAAUAGAAACUAAUCCGACUUUAGAUACCUCCACAUAACCCAGAAGACCAGAACUCAUAUCUCCAGCAGGAAAUCCCAUGGCAAUAAUGUUUUCAGUAAUGUAAGCCAUGUCUAAAUCGAAUCCUCCUUCCUGAUAGGAUACAUCAAGUACAAAUUAGACCUGAGCAAAACCCCAAACGUAGACAACUUUAACUUUUGACAAUUUUAAGAUUGAAUAAAAAGUACAAGGAGUACCCACAAACGGACCUCAGAUCUAAGAUUCCAAUGCAUUGUUUAUGUGAAAAUUACACAACGCUCAAGGUAGUAAACCACAUGUACCUAAGAACAUAACAUUAGUAUUGAGCUACCAAAGCAGGCUUGCUUCUUACCAGCUAGGGGGGAAACCUGUCUAGAAACUCGAUAUUUUAUCCUAACUGCUGCGAUCAUGCCAUCAAGUAUCCUCUUAAAAAUACAUUCCUCAAGUACGAGGAAAGUGCUUGUUAGAUAAUAUAGAAAGUGGUCGAUACCUGGUACCUCCGCUUGUUUUGAGAGACCAAAUGUCUGGCUUUCAGCUGAACUGUCCUCACAGCAUUCCUGGAUGAGUCGAGAAAACCGUUGGUAAACCUGUCAAAUGCAUUACCCUCUUGUACGCCAGCAAUUGGUGCAGGAUUUUUCACUGAAUCAUCGCCUGUUUCACUCGAGGCUGUGACAUUCACUGCAGGAGCUUGUGCAGGGACACGCUUCCCGAAUCCUUUCGUGAGCAUGCUAAAUGGUGACGAUUUAGGAGCGUCCCCACCUGAAGCUGGUCCAGAGGAUGAUCCCAAAGAUGAUGGUAGUCGAAAUCCUCUCGCCCAUUGGGAAAACCCUGAGGCUUGAUUGGCUUUUGCUGUGCCCUCUUCUGAGCCUUUCGUAGAACCACCGUAAGGGAAGGAAAACGAUCGCUGAUUUACUUUCGGGGAACCAGUUGUAAGAGGCUGCUGAUCAGAUUUCGACAAUUCAGACGCAGCUCGAGGUAGAACAGGCGCCUCAUUAUCAGCAGGAAGCCCUGGAGAGGGCUCAGCUUCUGCUAUGUCUGCCAUCGUACUGGCUGCCUCGGCAGUAACGAAUUCAGGAAUUUCUGAUGAUGGGAACAAGCAAACAAGUCAAUGUCGUCAUGAUAUCGAGCUAAGACGAAGUUUGAAUUGCUAGAACUCCGCUAAUUUAACAAUUCGUAAGCACAAACUUGCUGUUCUACGAUCUGUCUUACGCUCAUUCUCUACCACCCAAACCAGAGUGGGACCUCAAGCCUAUCAUAUAAUGAAUCACUUCACCACUUCCUACAAGAAUCUCCCUCACUUUAGCCAGCCCUAAACCUCGUAAUCCACUACUCUAAUUAGCACUCACACACAUGGGCAAACAAAAAAUUCAGUGCAAAUCGUUCCGACAAACCGAAGACAUCAGCACCCCGCCACGGAUGGACGAAUAUUUAGGUUUACAUAAUCCUCCGCUCCAGGCAUCUCCUACCCCUACAUUCCACUCCUACUGCGACAAAAAUCCUCUAUAGCAUCACAUCGCCCACACUCACUCAUCUCAUUCACACUUCAUCAACCGAGUGCCAGAAGAGACUCAGAUUCUCAAAAUCCUCUACAAUCGAGCGCUGUUGCUCACAGAAAACUCGACCAAACACCUUCUACAACGCCACAAUGUGCCUGAAAUGUUCGCAAUCACUCGCAAUAGGUCUCUAGGGUUUAAAGAAUAAGGCAAAUCUCCAUUCAUGACAGACAAAACAAAAUCCAGACCAAACAAAAAGGCCAUGCGAAAACGAAAACGAAGACGAAGAAGAAGCGUGGAACAUACGAGGCGAAGGGCGACGGUGGAAUCGAGGCCGGAUCGCGUUCGAGAAUCAUGGAUCCAAGCUUGCGAGAGUGGAGACAAUGGAGCACAGAAUGGGAGCAAAUUUGUUGCAACGAACGAAAGAGAGCGAGCUCACCGAAUCGAGUUUCGGAGGUUGUGCUGACGAUGUCAAGGCCCUAAGUGUUCUUCAUUACCACUAAUCCCCGACACUAAUCACGAUUGCCGGAACUGCGUGACUCUGCAAAGUGGCCUGACAGGCUGAGAACCGGAAUCGUUGAGGACAGGCAAAGAUAUUUCCGAGCGGGUAUCGGUCGAAUAGGACACCUGGAUAUCGAUGGAGAAGUGUGGGUGGGAUUUCUAGAUAUUUUUUAUUCUUUUUGGAUGUUGAAUUUUACACACUGAUAAGUUCUUCUUGGUGAUGAAAUAUCUUGUAUAAUGUGACUCUAGAUUUUUUUUUGUCUACUCCUGACGACAAAAUUAGAUGAUGAGUUUUCAUUUAUAUGAGGAAUAUAUAUAUAUAUAUAUAUAUAUAACUUAAUAUACAUUCAAAUAUUAUUAAUGAAAAUUCAAAAAAUGAUUUAAUAAAUAAAUUUUUUAUUUCGUACAUUCCUUUGAAUCAAUAAUAUUAUAUUAUUUAUUUAUUUAUUUAGUUAUUCAAACAUCUUUUGAUUUUUUAAUCAUAUAACGUAAUGCAUUUUUUUUCAAAAAUAUGUAAAAACUUUGCCAUAAAAAAUAAUAUUUUGAUAGACCUUUUUAAGUUUUUAAUUUUAAAAUACUGUAGAGAAAAUAAAUAUAUAUUAUAAUAACAUUACUAACAUGUUUUAUUGGAUAGCUUUGUUAAGAUUUUAUUUUUUAUUUUCAUACAACAACAUUUUGGCUUUAUUUAGAUGUAUGUGCAUAUAUGUUGGAGAAUGUAAAUCAAAUUCUCUAAUAAAUGGACUAAACCUUCAUGGCUACUCAUAUCAGAAAUGUCAAAUGCAUGUGAUUAGUUCAUGUCCUUUGUGUUUAAACCAUCCAAACUGCAACACUAAGGGUUGCAAUAAAGCUUACUAUCGUGUUGCAGAGUGUGUUGCAGUGGAUUGGUAUACAACUGAGCUUUUGAAAUCAUGGUUGUAAUAAAAUGGGUGGGGUGGGAUUUUAAUUUUAUAUAUAUAUAUAUAUAUAUAUAUAUGUGAAUACAUAUCAGAGUAAAUUCAUGUUGACAAAAACAUACAAUAUUAGAGUACAAAAACACUUUUUAAAGCUAUCCAUAGUGACAUGACAAUCAUAUUCCAAAUAUUACAUGCCUUUUUUUAUUAUUAUCAAUAAAACAAUAAAACUUGAAUAUUGAUGAGUCAAACAUCUUCUUCACAUGUUUACACAAACAUUAUGUGCUUGAAACCAUUGCAAUCAAAAAGCUAUCACAUGUAAUACACAUCACAUCAACUUAAAAACAAAUCCACCUAUGAAAUUUAUCAUGACAUUUAAAGUGCAACCAACCAAUGUUGAAGUACAUGGAAUCCAACACAACUGUUACAAAACCAUGUGAUCUAAAGGCAUUAUAGUGGGAUCCUAGACAAACACCAAGUUGGCAACAUGUUCUAGGGGUAUGCUCUUUGCAUUCACCAAGUUGGACCCCACCUAAUCAAAUCAAUUUGGGGGACUAGCCACAAUCUCCCAUUCAUAUCUACAUAAAACCAUACAACAACAACAACAACAACAACAAAAUCAACAACCACACCUUGAAGUAUAAAAAAUAACAACACAUUGAAUUAGGAGGCAAAGAAUGCAACACUUGCACAUCAGAGAAUACACAAGAAAUGUGUGUUUCCGUAAACGCUUGCAGUACAACUAUUGUUGUGGUGAACUUACAAACUGGCCUGCACCGUCAAUAUGCACCGAAAUUUUCACCGACAGCACACAAGCGGCGAGUCUGCGCCUUUCACGUGUCUAGGUUCUUACCGCCACGGAGAACCUAGACACGGGAAUUGUGAGGACAGGACGAUGGUGCGGCGCCACCGGAGCGUAGAUCCGGAGCCACAGUUACGGCAUGGAUGCAAAGAUCGAGCAAGCCUGAAUGCGGCGAGCAAGUUGUGGCGCGAGAGAUGCGAGCAAGUCGCAAGCGGAAGCUGGGUACUUGAGAUCGCCGUCUCGCAUUGCGAGUGGCAUCACUGUGGGUCGCUGGGCAAGGGAUUGACACGUACCAAGACGCGAGCUCCGUCAGCGGAAUGCACCCAGAUAAGCGUGACCCACCCGAGUUGGCGCAGGCAUACGCCACUCGUCACUCCCGAGAUUCACAUGCGCGCACUGGUUCUGAACCCGGGCCAAUGGAAUCAGAGUAGCCAUCAGAAAAGUCUCCAGUCUUUCCAGUUGGGUCUCAGUUAUUUGAGGUCGCUGGCAUUUCCGCAGCGGCUGGAGUGAUUCGCCUGUGCUAAUUUUAGGUGGGUAUUGCGGAAUCACGUCAACAGUCCCUUCGUGCGAGAGAUGUGUGUUUGGGUGGGUUAGUAUCUGCGGGACCGUGAUGAUUUGUUGUGGCGUGAUCGAUUGUAAAAGCUAGUUUGGAACCCCUGGUGGUAUCCUUGCAAGGUAUGAAGUGUUGUUGCUGUUGUAGUUAUUGUUCUGUUGUUUUUGCUAUAUUUCUCUUGUUUUAAAAUUAUAUUCGUGAUUUUAUUUUUGUCGUUUGCUGCAAGUGUUUGGAUCGGCUGGCGCUUUCGUGCCUGGGAAUCCAUUGAUGUUGGCCUCGCGUGAUUGGUGCGCCAGUGUUCUUCACACGAGAGGAAGGGGAGCGAUGGAAGUGGUCUCGAAGCUCUGAAUUCGUCGAUUUUUUUGGAACGGGACGGGGGCUGCUUUCCCAAUGUGAGUUGCUCUGUAGGAGCGAAAGUGAGCUAACUGCUAUGGCGGCGUUGUGUGUUUCUUUGCCGAGGACAGUAGUCAGUUGUAGGGGUCCAGGGCUUGGGCAGCUCACAGGCUGCCAUCUUGCGACCAGGCUUAGAAGCCCUUGGAGAGAACCAAAGGGGCUGGAGUUCAAUCUCAGAGCGUCGAAGCAUCUGAGGGUGUGGACAGUUUGUGCUUCGCUUGAGGUGAGAGAGACGAGUUCAGCGGAACUAUGAGUUACCCGUGAGAACAUGUCCUUCAACUGUAAAAUUUAGUUCAUAGCUUCAAGUUUGUUGGAAUGCGUACAGAAGUGUUGACGCAAGUUGUAUCCACCAUUCGCUCGGGCAUAUAUCAUCUGCGUCCUUGCACAUCCACGAAAUGGUUUCGGUCGAAUUGAUCAUAUCUCUUUGCUUUUCUGUAAUGUUUUUGCAGACAAGGCGCAAUGUGGAAUCGACAAGGAAAGGUGCUCCAUUGCUAGUCGAAGGAGCAACAGAUGGAGACGCUAAGUGGGUGGCGGUGCCGGACAUUUGGAGAACGGCAGCAGUGAAAUAUGGUGAGCGCGUUGCGCUGGUCGACCCACAUCGCGAUCCUCCGGCGGAAUUAACGUUUUCUCAGGUAUUUAUUUUUCAGAUUUUUCGCUUCAGAAAGCUUACAAUUGUAACCAUUUUGUAGAAUACCUUGUGACGAACCACAUUUGCAGGUUGAGGAAGCUAUAUUGAAUUUUGCGGAAGGGCUUCGUGCAGCCGGGAUCCAACCCAACCAAACAGUGGCUCUCUUUGCAGAUAAUUCGUACCGGUGGUUAAUUGCUGAUCAAGGUUAGUAUGCCAGAAAACCAGCUCUUUCCUACAGUAGCUCCAACCUCAUCUCAUCAGAUUGCACGUUUGAUUUGCAACCUGUGAUAAUGCGUAAAUCAUUACUUCUUGCCUCCGAUGCUGCUGCUCCAAUGACGGACAUGCACAUCGUGGCGAUGCCAGUUUCCGAAUGCAACUGUUAACAUUUAAUUUCUCUCGUAUUCAAAAUGGAGUAGAUAGGUGAUGAGUGCUUCAUGCUCGAAUUGUGCAAAUGUAUUGUUCAGCUUUUUAGACGUUUAUGUUUUUGUUAAAGUUUUAAAUUAUUUCCUGGCGUGGUGGAUCCAGGGAUACUGGCAGCAGGUGCAGUAAAUGCUGUAAGAGGCUCUAGAUCAUCAGCUGAGGAGCUUCUGUAUAUCUACUCCCACUCAGAUAGGUUGGAUAACAAUUUUCAUCUAAAUCAUUUCAUGGAAUUCAGAUUCAGUUUCCAAAAGAUGUUUUGUGCGACUCACGUAGCCAUCUCUGAUUUUUAUGGGUUUACAGUCUUUGCAUUGCCCUUUCAGCCGAGUCUAGAUUUCAGUAAGAGUGAGCUGUAACGAAUGUGAGGGUUUGAAAUAUACUGACUUGUUCUUUACGUAGCUAGAAGCUCAGUUCGUUGAAAAUGGAGGUUUAAUUCCACCUUUGUAUGUAUGUAUAUGUAUAUAUGUAUAUAUAUAUAUAUAUAUAUUCAUACAUAUAUAUAGUUUUGUUCACCAAUCGAUUUAGCUUGGAACUGCAGUGUAGCGUUGGUGAUUGACAAUGCGGAGCUUUUCAAGAAACUCGCACCCAUGUUGCGAGAGAGCGCAAAGGUGAAAUUUGUUGUGCUUCUAUGGGGGGAUAAACAAUCCAUUGUCUCGACGAAUGGCUCUUUCCUGAAAGAUACCCCAAUUCACACGUUCGAUGAGUUUGUCGAAUUGGGCGAAGGAAGCCGUGAAACGAGCUCAGGUGGGUACUACAGGAACAUUUGUCUUUCUCAACCAACUGGAGAAAAUUCUGUUGCUUUCGAUCAAUUCAAAUGUCUCGUUAUUGGCAGUUUUGUACUAUUCCAUUAGUUGUGUCAUAUUCAAAUUCCCCUCAACUUUUUAGCCACGAAGAUGGGCUACGGAUGCACAUUUUAACUCGCACAGAAUGGCAAAAUAAUUGACGAUUUUAUUAUGGAUUUUGAAUUAUCAGAACAAGUGCACGAGAAGAUCCACUCGGACGACACUGCUACUUUAGUAUAUACGAGUGGAACUACCGGAAAACCUAAAGCUGUAAUGCUCACGCAUGGCAACCUUCUCCACCAGGUGAAACUUUGUGAAUCAAACAAUAUGAGCCAUCCUUUCGUUUUUGUUUGUUUGUUUUUUUGUUUUUGUUUUUUGUUUUUUGUUUUUUGUUUUUUUUUUUUUUGCCUAUCUUACUUGAUUUGAAGAUUUCAUCUGUAGAUCAAUUAGAAAAUCUUGGAACUCAUAGCUCUUUCUUAUAUGCAGGUGAUCAACUUGUGGUCAGUGAUACAACCCUCACCUGGCCAGCGGUUUUUGACAAUCCUCCCACCAUGGCAUAUGUAUGAGCGCUCGUGCGAGUAUUUCUAUCUCUCUCGUGGUGUCAAUCACGUGUAUACGAGUGUCAAGAGCUUGAAGGUAACUAGGCACUAAUCUUUGAAAAUCUGCGAUCAAGGUGUUGACCAGGAGUUCAAUUAUCUCUCCCAGUUGUGUCAUAUAUACACACAUUUAUAUAACUCAAUCGCAUUAAUUUCUGUGCAGGAGGAUUUGGUGUUGUACAAACCGGAUUACUUUGUUGCUGUGCCGCUUGUCUUCGACCUCCUUUACAAGUAAGUCAGUGAAAUGUUAACUAAUCACCUAUAGUUUAAAAUUUUCUGUAUAGUAGGUUUUCUGUACUGAUGUAGAAUGUAAAAAGAUCAGUCUAAUUACAUAGAAUCAGCCUAGAAGCACAUUCCGUCCAAUGAUUGAGUGCUAGGAUUGAGCCGUUGUGUGUCGCAAUGGCUGGCAGUGGAGUUCAGAAGCAGUUGAAUGCGGCAACAGGUUUUCGAAAGACUUUGGCAAUGGCGCUCAUAAGCAUCAGUACGAAGUACAUGGAUGCAAAACGUGUUGCCCAGGUACUGAACAUAAUCUUUAAGUUCCAAGUAUGCACAACGUUGUUUUUGUAGGUUGCUGUUCUAUCAUCAGGAAUCACUUCAUGACGCCCUAACAACACAUUCUGCGUUGGUUGGCAUCUGCAAAUGGAGGCUGUGGUUGAAACUGGCAGCUGCAUUGACCACAAUUGAGUGUGGUUUUCGUGUUUUAUAGGGUAGAGACCUUGCAAGCGCGCGAAAGAAGCAGCCAAUCUUUACGGCAGCUAAAGAAUGGCUAGCGGCCAUGGUUGUGAUGUCAAUUUUACUACCUCUUCACUUAAUCACGAAACUAUUAGUUUUCAAAAAAAUUCGGGCAACACUCACUAUGGGAACGGCAAUUAGCGGCGGCGGAAGCCUGCCCACCCAUGUAGACAAGUUCUUCGAGGUAUGUUAUCUCUUGUAUUUGAGUUCAGGUAGUGAAGUAUAGUAGUAGUAGUAGUAGUAGUAGUAGUAGUAGUAGUAGUAGUAAUAAUAAUAAUAAUAAUAAUAUAACUUCUGUAAUUCUAAUAAUUUGAUGAUUUUCUUAUAGAUGAUCGGCAUUCCAGUACUCAACGGUUACGGCUUGACAGAAACUUCGCCAGUUCUCUCCUGUCGACUGCCUUACAACAAUGUAAGCUCUGAGCCACAAUGUCCAUUACAUUCCACAGGGACUAACAAUAAUUUAACUUAUCUCCUUAUUUAGUGCAUGGUAGCAUGAAAGUGAUUUGGAUUUAUUACUAGGUUGUAUUCCGCCAUUGAUGCGAGUCUUCUUCGUAGAUUUGAUAAACAUCACUGUUUGCACAGAUAUUGGGUUCUGUAGGGAUACCCAUACCUGGUACGCGUGUGAAGAUAGUGGAUCCAGAGACGAAUAGGCAACUGGGUCCAGGAAUCAAGGGCCUUGUCAAAGCCAGCGGUCCUCAAAUUAUGAAGGGAUAUUACAAGGCAAGUAUUUCCCAGAUUUUGUGCUCAGGUUUGAGAGAUAGAGAUGAGUGAUAUUUUGUUUCAAUGGAUUGUAUCUGCACACGUGAAAGUCUGCUUGAUGAGUUCUUGAAUAGUUAAGAGGUUCAGCCUCAGUAUGUAGAAAUUCAUCAUACAGCAAGCUACGAACAGGCAGUAAUGGCUUACAUCUUCAUGGUAUUUUCAGAAUGAAGAAGCAACAAAGAAAGCGAUAGAUCCAGAAGGAUGGUUUGAUACUGGUGACCUCGGUUGGAUUGCGCCGAAGAUGGGCAUUGGUUGUGCUCGACGCUGCGGUGGAGUAUUGAUCUUGGAUGGCCGAGCCAAAGACACUAUAGUUCUCUCAACAGGUCCUAUCAUUGUUCAUAAAGCUCGUUUACGAUCUUUUCCAAACCAAGCUGAAAGAUUUUUCUUACCUCCUUGCAGCCAGAAUAUUUAGCAUUAGAUAGGUGAUCACAAUUGAAAAAGAUGGCCUGUUGAUGGCAUGGACACUGAGUAGUCAACUCUUGUGCCACGCAGGAGAGAAUGUGGAACCGACAGAGAUUGAGGAAGUUAUGUCUCAAAGUUCUCUGAUUCAAAACAUUGUCGUACUAGGGCAGGUAAGCCAGUUUACUAAUAUUAAGAACAGUGCUUGUUUUUCUUGCUUUUGUAAGCAGUCUUUACAUUCUGUCAUCGUCACCUAUGCUUUAUUUUCUUACAAUUCGUCAAUUUUGGUGCCUUUGAUAUGGCAGGAUCAACGGCGACUCGGGGCACUCGUGGUUGCCAACAAAGAUGAGUUAUAUGCGGCGGCCAAGGAGCGGAUGCAAGCGAAAGGAAACACUGCCGAGCCUUCAGACGCUGAUUUGCGGGCGUGCAUACGAGAGGAACUGAGAACCUAGUAAUACCUAACCCCUAAAGUUCAACAUUGGCUGCUGAUCGAUGCUUUGAAUUUGACACCAUUUUGACAACAAUCUCACUUCCGUUUGUGGUCUGCGCUUUGCAGUGGUGCUGGCUGCUCACAUUCAGUAGCAACAUUUGAGAUCCUCUAUGAGCCAUUUACGGUUGAAAAUGGAUUUCUCACUCCCACAAUGAAGGUUAGGAGAGACGUUGUGACUGCCAAGUACAAAGAACAAGUUAAUGCACUUUUCAAGUGAUCUUAUGCGUAGCACAAUGAAGCUCUGCAUCCACAAGCUACGCCAUGCUACUGGACUAAGUACAGCAGCAAGAGCAAGAGCAAGCAAAAUGAAGUGUGUUGAAGUGCAGAUACCAAUCCUCAGCUGCACGUUUACAAAAGUAGUUUGGACUGAAACAUUUUGUAUGCCUGGACUAUUUCGUCACUUCCUAUAAUGGACCCAGAGACUUUUGCCACAAUGUUGAUUCUUAACUGAGCUGUUCACUCUGCUCACCCAUUUUCUCUAUUUCCCCAAAUCAGAUAACAAUGAUCAGUUGAAGCCUUAUCUGCCUUGAGCCAAAAAUACCUGAAACUGUCACUUGGAGAGGGGUCUUGUAUAUUAGCUAGGCCUGCUAUUUGUGUAUGAAUAUUUUCAUGGCUCAACUAUUAUGUCAAAAAUAUUCAUACCAAAAAUAAAAAUGUCUAGAAUUCCACAUCAAGAAUAUCUUGUCGAGGCAGCGGACUCCGUUGAAUCAAGUUGUUGACGCAGUUGCUGCUUCCAAUGGUAAUGGAUAACGAAUUGGCCUUGUUAUUGUGCAAGACCUCCCCAUUGAUAUCUAGACAUAGUACCCAAAAGCUAUCUUCAGAUUCAACAAUAGCAACGUCCUUCGUUCUGUCACCAACAUUGACAACAGUUGUUCAAAUUGAUUCAGUUCAUUUGUGCCUUUCAUAUCGCCGACUUGUUCCAUUUCAGGCUGUUGAGUUUCACAAUCACGUCAUACGAGGAAAUUCGAGCAUCCUUCGGCCUUGGAGAUCCAGAAAAAUGCAUUUUUAGCAGCAGCAGUAUGUACAACGUAAACGUGUACGUUUUAUCAAGUGUUUUAUGAUCAACUCUAAGAUAAAACAGCUAGCAGUUUUGUUUAUCUAGAGCCUCCAGGGACUUCAAAACCUCUGUAGUGAUAGACCAAUUGAACCCACGUCGCUGCAACCAGCCUAUCAUACGUCUCUUGCGAGCUUCUGGAGAGAUACUAUCUCCACGUCCCCACUGUAGCCUAGCCUUCUCCAUGAGAUGAUCACUUGUCCUUUUUGUCAUACCCCAUCGUCCUUCGUUGUCUUCUGAGUCAUCAUCUUGGUUUAAGAACUCAUCACUGGUGGUAAAGACCAUCUGAAUGGCCGCUUCAAUGUCCUCAGGGCUUACUCCUCUUUGACGAAGUUCCUGUGCAUCCACGGUAAUGGAGUCACUGCCAACUCGUAAGGAUAUAAAUAAGUUGACAAUGAUCAUUGCACUGACUAGAAUCGAAUGCAUUGCAAUAUGUAAAGAAAUGAAACAAUUUAAAUUCUAAAGCAUUCUGACAAAAGUAGCGUAUAAAACUACGGAAUUUCAACACAUCCCUCGACCUGCUCAGAGCAACCAUUCUGGCUCACACACCUUGAUGACAGGAUUCCAGUUAUGAUACUGACUUUUUUUCAGUACACAAAGAUUCUGAUGAUACAAAGAAACAGUUUUCAGAAGCUUUCAUUAGAGUAUUGUUGCGUACUCAAAAAGAAGCGAAUCUUUUGCGUUACGGAAAAAUACCUGCUUAAGACGCUGGGGUCCCCAAAUGGAUGUUCGCCAUCGAGAUCGAGCAAAAGCCUCAGCAUACUCCAGGUCACUUUGCAAUCCACUGCCAAGUAAGAGAAAUAAAAUCACACUAAGGGUUACCCACAAAGCUUAGAAGUUCUGAUCGUAACUUAACCCUAAACGAAGGAAGAAAUUGUGAGAAGACCGCGUUGGAGGGGAGAAGUUGCAUAAUUGGGAAGAAACGUAUUCAAUCAGGAUUAAGAGAUUGCAAAAGAGUUUUCACCAUCUUUGCAGGUCAGCAAUUGUGGAUUCAAUUACGCUUGGAGAUAUGUUCCUGCCCAUCAGCUUCUGCCUCAACUUUUGUGCGGUUUGAGGUCUGUCAAAACCAAAGAACCAGAUCCCAGUUACGAGCUGCUCUUGAAACGCAUACAAUGCACAAUUCUGGGGCUCAAGCAGAAAUACAUGACGAGGAGAUUAGUGACAAGUUUGCAGUGCGGCGAAAACAAGAAGUCAAAGGAAUUGUUGGUACUCACGCAAUUCCCAGCAAACGCAAUGCGUAACUUUUGGCUGAUUGCUUCUCCUUCUCGAUUUCUUUGUCCACCACAAUUUCUGGUGUUUCGAAGAGAUUGUCAUCAGCUGCGUUGAGAGAAUCAUCAAAGAGAUCAUUGGCACCCGAAAGCAGACCUUCAAACUUCCGACCAUCUCCAUAAAAUAGUCCUGAGCCUUGAAGCUGCUUUUUCUUCCUUGGAGUUAAGGGUACACUGCUCCUCUUUGAUAGCUCUGAGUCAGGAGCUUCAAACUUCCGGCCAUUUCCAUAAACAGGUACUUUUUCAAACAUUUGAUUCUUCUUCACCAAAGAAAUCCCAUCCAAGUCGGCAGUGGCUGAUACUGCUUCUUUUUGAUUACGCAACAUUCUUGAGGACCUAGAAAGGAAUGCGUUAUGCUCGUCAUACUCAUUGCUCCUGGGAGAAGUUUUGGCACUCAAAUCCUCUUCUAUCUCCGCAACAUGGGGAAUCUUCUCACGCAUACGAGAGAAUUGCGUUGAACGUUGUGAUGAUGAGUCUCUGGCUUGCAUUUCUGCCUUCAAUCGUUGUAUUUCAGCACAUGCAAAACUCUGAUAAUCUUCCGCCUCAGCUUCCACCUCUUUGUCUCUGUCAGAAGACUUUUUCUGCUCCUGCAGUUUCCUCAAACUGCAAUCCUCGUCUGUCUUUGACACGCGCUUCCAUCUUUGCAGCGGCCGAGAGUAUGGAACCCCUGCGUCUUCUCUGCUCUCCCGCAAUGUAGGCUUGGCAGUCCCAGGCGCCUGCGGAUUAUAGCGGAUUGGCCCCGUAGCUCCACGAAUCGUACAAAAGGCUCGCACUCCUACCGCUCUAUCCAGAACCGCACUACAACCUCUAAUUGCCAUCGCUUCAGAUUGCUUGUGAAAGUUUAGCGUAUCCAACGACAACCAUGGCGUGCAACCGAACUCCACUUCCCAAUGGAAACCUAGAACCUCGAGAAACCUCCUCAAAUUUCGUCUGCCGUGUUUCUACCAGUUUCCUCAAAGGCCCCUCUCACUCUCACGAAACUCUGAAGUCCUAAAUAUUGACAUCUCUAACAUUCUAUACGAUCGUUACUCAUGCCACCAUGAAAAGUAUAGAAUUCUACGACCGCGAAAACAAUAUGCGAUUGAUUGCCAUACAAUUGUUCAAACUCGUACAAUUCACCUAGUGAGGCAUCAUCUGAGCUGUGAAGAUUUGCGAGCAAGGUAGGGGGGUUGCGGAUUGUUCGAAUGGAUUUCUAUAUUCACUCAUCCAGUUGGAGUACACGUAGUUGAGAAAAUAUGACAAACCAUGCCACAUAAACCCUAAUUCCACCGAAAUGCACACGAGUGCAUCCCUACCUCCGAGCUAAGUUCUUUUUUCAUCUCUAGUGUAGAUGGUUCACUCACAGAAUAACUAGUUGCGAUAGGUUUUAGUCAUUCCUCAUGCACUUAUCCCGAAUGAUCGACCUUCUGCGUUGUGUGGUAGUUAAGAUUCUCUGUCCUUGUUCCUGUUUGUGUGUCAUUUCCUUACCCGUGAGUUGCAAUUUUGGAGCAGGAUUGCACUGUCACCGGUAGUCCCAGCGCAGAUUGUAGCAGUGUUGGUUUCCUAGAAAAAUUACAAGGGUUUGAGGAUCCCUACGUGGGUUUUGGCGGAGAUGGGGAAUGUUAGGCGGAUUUCGAGCAGGCUUGUGCCUUCCUUUCGUUACGCGGCCUCUUGGAAUCGCAAGUCAUGUACGUGCUUGCUGGUCUUCUCUUUCUAGUAAUACAAGCAGCGAUUGAAUUUGGUCAUGCAUUUUGGAGUGAUGCCCAGUCUCAGUGUUGAUCAUUUUCUAGGCCAGAAAUUUAUAAAUCAUCUUCACUUCUCGAGAACACAUUCUUUUUUGGAUUCUGAAAGGGUCUUGUAGCACGAGGUUUAUGGUUAAAGGGUUUUCUACCCUAUAAUGUGGGUAACUGAGUGUUACACGGGCUACUAAGUUUGUUAGUUAAGUAAACUUUCUCGAGCAAGAUAGGGAGGGAUUUUGAAGGAUGAGCUGUUUGUACGAUUACAUUUUAUAGUGAAGGAACGUCACAUGGGAUUGAAUUGCUUUGCAUUUAUUUUGAGUAAUGUUGAAUCACUUCUACUAAGUGUUGACGUACUUUGGAGGAUCUUUGUGAUUAUGAACAUCGUGCACCAUCUCGAGGAAUUCAUGUUAAGCGUUGGGGUAGACCGAUCAAAACACUAUUCCUACUUCUCAUGAAUCCAACCUAAUCUGUCAAACGGUUGUUAAGCGAUCGCAGGUGUGUGUGAUGGAGCUUUCGCCGGUAGCCACCAGUUAUCAACUUUAGGAAGCAGUGCUGGGAGAUGGAAUGAAGAUGAGAAUUCCUCUAGCAGCACACAGGUCUUGAAUCACCAAGUUUCCCAGCAGAAAACCCUUCGCACCUUACUAUCCAGAAAUGUGGCAGCAAAUUGUGCAAGGGACAAGUGGAGAAGUCUGCACAGAUCAAAUUAUUACUCACCGACACGGCGAAAUGUUGAUGUGCCGCGAUGUCUUGUCCUAAAUGCAAGAUUGGACGGUUUUGACGACCGGACAAGGCCCAGGACUUGGUUGGGACAAAGAUACUUCAGUUCUGAUUCUGAAACCAAAAGAAAAGGUCUGCAGGAGAGUCAGAUUGGGCAGGAGCUUUUGUCUGCGGCUCAAGAAGGGUCUUCUACAGGGUUGUCUGGUGCUUCACAAGGUUUGCAUUUCUCGUCAAUCCAUGUCUUUGCAGUCAGCACUUCACUCGACUUUGUUCGAACUCAAUAUUCCCUCCCAUGUCCUGUUCGUUAUUUCAAAUUGCUUAUCAAUCAUGUGCUUUUCGAUGGGACAAAGCAGAAGAAGUUUUUAUCUGCUUGCUCGGAGAAUUCUUGUUGAAUGUCAGUGUGAUUCAGCCAAGACUCUUUUGCAGGCUUACAACUAGCAUCUGGGGAGGUUCUAUCGCCGGAGGAGGAGGCCGCUUUAAAACUAGCGGAGACAGAGUUUGAAAAUAGAAAAGGUGCUUAUUAAUGCGCUUUCCUUGAUUUUCCUUUUCUCUCUUCUCCACCACAAUCAAUCGUGUCAUUUAGACCUCUGGUUGCAGAUGCAGCUCUGAAGCUACGCUAUGCUAUUCUAUGCUCUAGCGUUGACUGAUGGCCUUAUAUGAAACCAGUCACAUGAUUUAUGGUCACAACUGUCCAGAGUCAUGUUAUUAAAUGUGUUGUUUAGUAUAUGAGAAAAUUGGAAUUGCUUCUUUCUUCUUUUCUUUUCUUUUUUAAUUUACAAGCGCGUGCUGACUGGAGUCAUUUGAGGUAUUUGAGAUCGUAACAGCUUGUUUGGAAUCCUGCAGCAGAGCAAGUGAGCGUGGAAAGCAUUCAGGAAAUGCUUAAAGAGUUGUCGUCUGUAGCAGACCCAAAAGAUCCUCGAAUCGCCAUUGUUUCCUUGAGACUAGGCCAGGAAUAUGAAGCAAGGGGUGAAAACCCAAAAACCUUCAUGAAACUAGGGGAACAAGCUCUCAGCAUUUUUAAGACAGCAGGAGAGUUCACUUUAGAGAUUGGAAUGUGCCAUCAUCUCAUUGCUCUAGCUCACCACAGACUGGGUCAAUAUGAAAAAAGCCUUGAAAAUCUGAACAAGGCGAUUUCGCUGCUCAAAGAUAAUGAAGGGAAAGAGAGUGGGCCAAUUAAAUUUGCUCUGCAGUUUCUGAUGGGAGACACUUUAUCAGCUCUAGGGAAACACGAUAUAGCCCUCAAGCAUUACAUUGAAGGUUUGGCUGUUCAAGAGACUAUCCUUGACGCAGGCCAUCCGCAAUUGGCCAGCAACUAUCGCCAGGUGUGUCCUCCCUCCGCAGUUCACCUGAGAGAGCAUAAUUGCUGGUUUAAGGCAUUGUAGCUUGUCUUGCGCAUAAAGCUUCCCUUGAGUCUCCUAACUAGUUUAUCCAGGUGAGAUUUAUGGUUGAUUUGUGCACUUGGUAACUCAAUCUUCGAACUUGGUCAAUGUUUAAACAGGUUGGUGAGGCAUUCACACAGGUUAUGAUGUUUGAGGAAGCAAAAGAUUUGGUUGAAAAAGCACUUAAGGCUCACAUCAAAAAUAAUGGCAAAGGCUCUAUAGAAGAAGCUAUUGAUCGACGCCUUCUCUCUGUUAUUUACAGUGGAUUGGAAGAGCACGAAAAAGCUCUGGAAGAACAACAAAAUGUGAGGUCUAUCUUAAAUGCGAGAGGUUUGGGAUCCGAAGCACGGUUUGUCGAGAUUGCCAUUGCCGACACUCAACUCACCUUGGGUAGGUUGGACGAUGCAAUUGCAACCCUUCAAGACGUUAUCUCCCAUUUGGAGGAAGGUAACUCAUUGAGGGAUCUUGCAACUGUGAAUCUAGCGAAGGCGUAUACACAGCAGGGAAACGAAGAGAAAGCUGCAGAACAUUCCAGGUAACUUUUCCAGCAUUAGAAAUAGAAUAUUUUGCAGAGAGUUUAAGAAGUUAUAUAACCUUGUUCACAUCACCUUGUUCAUUAACGGUUAGCCCUCCUGAAGUUGAAGAAAAACGGAUACCAAGAUUUUAAGACUUGACCAUCAGUAAUGAGGCACUUCUUCAAGGAAACUGCUAGCUAUUGGUGCUCCUAAUGUUUUACAGGGAAGUUGCGCGAAAAUUUUAGAUAAUGAAGAUUAUGAAUACUGGUUGGUGCCGCAGGGCCGCGAGAAGCGUGCUCGACUCAAAGCUUCACCGUUUGAGUGGAGGGGACACAGAGCUUCUCACAGUUGGAGAAUGCUACACAGAAUUGGCCGCAAUUCAUCAGCGUAUGAAACGCCCUGAGGAAGCAGUAGAUCUUUUAAAGAAAGCUCUCUCCAUCUACAAGCAGUUGCCGCAGCAAAUGAAUGCUGCUGCAGGUAUGAACUCAGCUCCGCGAGGAAUUUGCAUUUCGCUUAUAUCACUCUUGUGAGGGUUGUAUUCCGUGACUGAUUUUCUUUACUAUCCUUCCAAAGUUGGAGUUGAAAUUGGUAGAGUAUGUGGCGCGCUAAUAUAAUCAGAAUGUUCACAAGGUAGACAUGGGCCUGUAUGUUUAUUAAGAGGUCCUUUGAUGUGUACGAACAGUCUUCUUGUUUACUUCAUUUGAUCAUCUUGAUGCGGUUCCUGGCUUUGUUGUACUGGGUUUUCUUAACUUUACCCUGUCGCUCUAGCUCGCAUAUUCGUAAGCAAAAUUUAUCUCUAUAUCUGAAUACAAGGUCGUUAAAAUUCUAUUACUUAAUAUAUUUAUUUCCCCACCACAAACAAAUGUUGCAUUCUUUUUUCAUUCAAGGUCGUCAGUUGUGCUUAUGCAUGAGUUUACAUUCACAUUUGGUUUAAUGCAGGUUCACAAGCUCAAAUUGGUUUGCUCCUGUACUUCUCUGGUAAAGUAGAAGAGGCUAUUCCAUACAUGGAAGAAGCUGCCGCAAAUUUGAGACACAGUUAUGGGAACGACCAUUUCUCCCUUGCGCUUGUCCUAAAUCAUUUAGCUGUUGCUAAUGUUAAGCUGGAGAAUCGGGAGAAGGCGAUUGAGCUUUUUGAAGAGUCUAAAAGAAUCUUGACACAGACACAUGGACCUGGCCAGCAAGACACUCUUGCAGUUUAUUACAAUCUUAUGCAAGUCUAUGCUACUUUGGGAAGGUAUUUAUCUCCUCAACUUCUCUUCCUUAAAGAUGGUCACUAUCUAAAUACGUGGUCUUAAUUUUGUUGUGCUCUGAACUAAGCACAUUUUGUAACUUUGUCACACAACGGUAGCUGCUGGUUGUUUGAAAUAAUAUCGAAAACUACUCAGAAACUGUAUUUUCACUGUUCAACAGGAUGUGGAAACUUUCUUGCUACAGUUGCUAAAUGCCCACUUAUAGAUAGUGAUUUGUAAUAUCAAAUAUCCUAUAUUGCGUUUAUUGCUUAAUGCACUUAAUUGCUGGUUUGACUGUAGGAAGGAGAAAGCAAUUGAAAACGCAAAGCACAUUGUAGUGGAGUUGGAGAAGCAUGGUGAACCAGCAAAGGCGGCUCUAGCUGAGGCACAAAAAGACCUGGCAAGCCUCGAACAAUCUGAUAGCACUUCGUUACAAGAAAGUGGCCAACAGUUAUUAGAGACCAUGAAACUUCCAGGCAGUGAUUGAUGCCAUAUUAGAUAAUAAAAACUAGGAAUUAGCUGCUGCUGUUAUUUGCAACUUCUAUCGACCCAUAUUUGUCUGUAAUUCAAGCAUUCGAAUACUUAUGUGCUUUUCUAUGCCACGUUUAUCUUUGAGAUGACAAGACCAUUUGCAGCAUGAAAUCACUAAGACUAUUCCAAAUUCAGUGAACAGCAGCAGUGCAAAGAUUUCUGCAGUUGCAUUUGAGAUAUGCUCUGAAGUUGAACUUGUAAACUUGGAUUUAGAAUGCAAUAACUGAUAUAAUUUUGUCUGUAAUAGUGAAUGCAUACUUAAGAUUUAGUAGACAAAUAUGGAAAAGAAUGUGACCAUUUGUGGGUGUUGAGAGUCCAAAACAAACAACGGUUACUAGUCAAGUAUUUGGGAAUGGUCACAACCUUUAUUGAUGAAUUAUUUUUUAUAGUAGAAACAUUCAAAUGCCUAGAUUUAACAAUGUUUCAACUUGAAAUUGAGGUUGAUAGAAUAGACUUAUGUCCACACAUUUAUUAUAAUAGUAUAAAGUUAGUUAAAGUUCACAAAUAAAUUAAUAUAUAUAUAUAUAUAAUAAUAAUAAUAUAUUGUACAAGACAACUUUAUAAAAUCUUUAUUUUCAAUAUGUAGGUUUGAAAAUAGUUACUAUUAUGGAAAAUAUAGAAAUAGUAUCAAAUAGUUUUUUUUCAAAUAAAAUUUUAUAAUAAUAAUAAUUCCUAAAACAUAUAUAUAUAUAUAUAUAUAUAUAUAUAUAUAUAUUAGGAAAAUGAUAUAAUAAAAUUAUUAGUCCAAAGUUGACUAUUCUAUUUAGAUUGGUUAUUAUUAUCAAAGAGAUUUGUUAGAAAUGAUUAAAAUUUGCUAAUUUUUAGAUAACAAUUUCAAACAAAUUUUAAAUUAAAAGUAAAUUUUUAUCAAAGUACAACACUUAUUUGAAAUAAAUAAAUAAAUACAAAAUAAUAGUUAAAGUUAUAAAAAAUCAUAAGAUUUGAAUUGAAAACAUCUUCAAAUUUUUAAAUUAAAUAUAUAUAUAUAUAUAUAUAUAUAUAUAUAUAUAUCAAUUCAUAUAUUUCUAAAAUACUAUUUUAUCUAAUUUAAGAAAUAUGAAGUCUUUUAAAUAUAAAGCAAAGAUUAAUUUAUCAUCUAAGAAGCUAUUUUGCUAAAAAUUUCAGUUUUUUAUUAUCUAAAAAAGAAAAAAUUUAAACUUAAAUCAAAUUUGGUUAAUGUACAUCAAAAGUUAUAUAAAUUUUAUUAAAAUUAUCUAUUUAAACAAAAUACUAUAUAUUAACGUUUUAGUGUUUUUAUGUAUAUAAAAUUUAAUCACUUAACAACAUUAUUUGAUUCAAUUUUUCACCUUUAAAUUACUGUACAAUAUGUACAUAUCUAAUUCAAUCUUAUUUUAUCUCUUAGUUUUGAAGAUUUAGAAGUGUUACAAUAGAAGAUCAACAAUUAAUGUAUUUUUCAUAGGAGCUAAUGUUUGCUUACUCUUAUAACAAAUAACUUCAAUCUUCCAAACCUAAAUUAUUAAAUAGCUUAUUUGAAAUAAGAGGAUUUAGAGUAAUAAUGCGAGGAUUCACAGUAACCACAUAUUAAUGUGGUUGCAAUCCAAUUUGAAAUAUACAAUGCAUUUUGAACCAUGGUUAUAAAGUAGGUACUUAUUGUAUAAUGAUUUUAGUUUUAAACAUUUCUAUGUUUGCAAAAAAAAUUAAAUCCUAUUUAAACACGUUUAUAAAACUACUAGUACAAGCUGAAUUUAAUAAAGUUGUAUAAUUCUAAUCAUAGAAAUUAUAGUAGGUUAUAAUGAUUCAUACACUUCGAUUUUAGCGAAAUCUAGAAUUUUAAAUAAAAUGUUUACAACACAUGUAGUUUUUAAGUAUUUUGAAUUAAUUUUUACAAAUUCCUUUCCCAACAGACUGUUCAACAUCUUCUCAUAAAAGAAUGAUCUACAUAAUCUUUUUGACAAAUAGGCUCCUUCUUGAUUGAAUUACACUAAUUUCCUGCCAUCUAGUCUGCCGUCCAAUAGUGGAAACAAAUCCUAAAUUCAUUGUCAACAUGGCCAUGAAAACUUGCAAGCUCCACCCACUGCUUAGACCAACAGUCAACUGCAGCACUAGGAAUGAAGAUAGAAGCUUCAAAUGCUAAGUGCUUCAGAUUCAAGCUAUUUCAUAGGAAUAGAAACUCUGAUUCCCUGAUUCUCUGAUUUACCACAGAAGAAGAAUGGAUGGACACUCAUAAAACCAACUCCAAGCCAAAAACUUUCAUGGGGAACUUACAAGAACAAGGGAUGCUUGAUGUACAGCCGUAGGUCCGUCACAGACAUCAUGUUACGAGGAAGGCUUCGAAGAUUGACUGCAAGUCUAGAAAACUACAACAAUCUUCCUGCUUUGCUUGCCAUAGAAGUGUGCUGGUCAGAGUCCUGCGGAACACCAAUCCAUCUCGUUAUCAAAUGAAUUGCUAGCAGCUCUAAGUGUGCAUGGGAGACGAUUCACCUGAAUUUAGAGCUGUCAAAUGGCGAAUUCUUCGUAUCAACAUGAACCUAUUCAAAGAGGCAUUGGGAAGCUUUGCUCGGUAUAUGCAUCUCGAGGUAACGGUGAGUGGUUAGUUACAGUGCUACGUAGACAGCAGGAAUGUGCCUCUUCACGGAAAUUCUUGAGCACUAAGCACGACCCUCAAGAGGAAUAAAAAGCAGCAAGAUAAAGAAAUGAAGGAAUUGUGGGUCACUUCGGUGCAAGUGGAAAAAUAUUGAACCUGGAGAAGAGUGCUAAAUAGACUGCAUUGAAUGUCAUCUUUAGGUGGCCUGUGAUAUCAUAUAUAUCCCUUGAAAGAAAAUUUGACCGACAUCGCCAGAAAUUCAUAGCAAAGUGACGGUCAAGCACCUGACUUAAUGCAUUGGGUUUGACACCGACGUGAGCAAACGUCAUUCCAGUUCGGAACAUGGUGUGCAUUCGCACAGACAGAACGGAUACAAGCUUCGGAGCAAGCAUCCACCUCGCUAACACCGCACACUGUGACACAAGUAUCUGAAGUGGUUCCAUUGGAGAAAGCUCCAACCCUACUGAGCAUUCUCUUCGACGUGCAGACGCGCUCACACACAAACUGGUUAGUGAGGUCUUUCGUGUCCUUGCCCUGGAGCGGGUCUCGCUCACGGUUACGAGUCUUCUGAAUCACCUGACGAACCACCAAUGCAGGGACAACCGUCCCUACAACACCCCACCACCACUCCACCAUCCUUCUCCUUGAUCUUCACAGCAGACCAAACAGACACAAAAUUAAGCGAGCAAUUCAAUUGAUCAAUCAAAGUUGAAUGGAGAGCAAUGCUGUAUCAAUGCACAAAUAAGCAGCAUGGAGAAUGAAUUUUUCAAAUCACUUAGAACCUCAGGGAAGGCUAUCUAUCCUGUGCACGGAAAAAUUGAACCAUACACAACCCCUAAUAGUAUCGAAUCGGUUCUCUUUUCCUCGCAACACAAACAAAAUUACAAUUCGGGAUCACAAUUCAGUUUCGAAAACCCUCAAAUUCUUGCAAAUAUUAAAGAAUUGAACUAAGAAAGGUCACUAGAGCUCGUUCGUGCGGAUUCAGGUAAAAUUUUGAACACAAUUGCGUACCAAAGAACUGCCUGAUGGAUGAAUGAAACGAAAUAAAAUAAAACUGACUGAUUUUCUUUGAUUGUACAUACAUUCUAUCGCAAUUUCGGACACUAGCGAGAUACUUACACAAACGUAUCAAAACGCAUCCAAACACCUGAAUUCUACACAUAUCAAAUUACAAUUCAAUCCAAGAACCCCUUUCUCAAAUCCACAUAAACCCUAACACCUCAAGGUACUCCAACCACCCGAAAAUUAACAAUGACCUAAAUUACAACCACGCUCAACAUCCACAACGCCACAUAAACAGGAUCCCACAUGCUUCCGUUAACCCCACACACGCACAAUCUCCUCGACCACAAUCAGAGCGUUUCUUCUGUCUCACACUACAGAGGGCCCCGAUAUACAUGAAAACCCUAGCAUUGUGAGCGUAAACAAAGACACCAAAACAUUCUUUUCACUGUGGGGUGAAAAUUAUACAACAAAAAAUUAGCAAUACCUGAAGAGAAGAGACAAACUCACGAGAUUACAAACUAAACUUCGAUAAUUUGGGAUCGAUCCUGUCGCAGGCUUGUGAUGCCACUGAUUCCCGCCCCUGGGGUUUGGCAGAAACCGACUGAAUUUGCUGCUAAUGAGGAUGGAUGAGAAAAAUCGACCCCGACCGUCUUUCUCUUCUUUACACUGUUUUUGCUUUUGUUUCUGUUUCUGCAGAUGUUCACACAGGACACCGUCACCGAGAUUCAGGGUUCAUUCUAUUUAAGUCACUGAAAUUCUUUCUCCCAAAUACUUAAGUGCGGAUGUGUAGUAAAUGCUUGCAGACAUGCGGUUGGAUUCAUUUGUACUUCGAUCGCGGAAAGCAUCGCAUCUCAAAAUCCAAAAAUGCUCAAGAUGUAAGGGAUUCGCUGUCCGCGUGACACGUAGAAGGGUUUCAGAAGCACGAGCAAGUCAAUAUUCGAUUCUCCGCACUUCAUCAUUCAAGUCUUUUUACAACUUCUGCUACACAACAAACAAGUCAGACGAGAUACACCGUUUUGGGCGUGUAACAGACACAAGUUAUCAUCAUGGGUCUCUCGAGAGCCCAGGAUAUGAAACUUCCUGGCGUGAUAAUUGAUGAGAGGCUGGAAUAAAUCUGCAAAUCAAUGGAUCCAUAGUGCACUGUGGACUAUGGAUCAGAGCGACAAAAAACAGAUCCACUGGGAGUUUUAAAAAAAAGCGGCGUGAGCAUCCGAGCUCUCAACACAGUCCAGACAAUAGAAGAAAUUAAAGCCUCUACUCACUCGGCAGUGGCGAGAAAAGACAACCCCACAAGCCCACUUUAGUGACAUGGAGGCAUAUUCACCUCGCGUUCCAAGCUCUCGAAGGGGUUUUACGGAACUCACUGGAUGGUUCCCAGCUAAAGCAGCAGCUCUGGACGUGAUCUCAUGGGAUUGCCGAUUAUUUUUAUAAAACAAAAUCGACACCGUCAAGGAUGUGAGAUCCACUUUGGCCCGGGAUUACUGCAAACUGGUUUCCAGCUUUCCAACGAGAAACUAUCGUCGCAUCCGGGUUUGCUACAAUGAAAAACACAUGACUACACUCGGAGCACUGUCGAUAGAUAUUAGUGUGGUUCUAUGGAAUAUGUGACUGGACAUAUCACUGGGAUCAAUGUGAAUUACUCAGCAGAAUAUGCUGAGCUAUGCAACCAUUCCGACAACUACAAGGAUUACUGCUCUCCAUGACAAUACACUGUAGGAGAUAGCUUCAUGUACAUGACAAAUAUAUACAAUAUUCUCAGAUUUUGAGCCCUGAAUUCAGGGUAGAACAGAAGCUGAACAGCACCAGGACAUUGAAGGACCAAGAGCUCAGACCAAUGCUGUGAACAGACGGCAAAAUGCAAGGAUUGAAUGAAGCUCAAUUUCCUUCGAAAACUCACAUGAUUUUUUAUUUUUAUUUUUUUUGUUUCGUUAAGGUUUCGAGUGUGAGAUAUUAUUACAAAGAAUGGAAGUACGGUCUGAAAACUAAGAAAGAAAUUAUCUCCAGAGUAAUCCUGCACAAGGAUACUAGAACCCAACUGUUUGUCUCGUCAAGAGGUGAUGAGCUGGAGUAACGCAGACGCCAGGGCCAGAUAAUGAAUUCUCCAUGUCUUCAAGAAUUAGUACAAUCUGGUAGAAAUUGGGACGUCGCUCUGGGUUGUCCUUCCAGCACUGCUCCAUCAAAUCCGCUAACUCCGCGGGACAAUCUUCAGGAAUUGGCGGUCUUAGAUUCUUGUUCACCACCGCAUACGCUACCUGCACGGGAGUCAUAUCCUGGAACGGCACCAGCCCCGUAACGAGCUCCCACAAGACUAUCCCGAAGCUGUAGACAUCCACCUUCUUCGAGUAGUGCUUGUGGCUAAUCAUUUCGGGAGCCAUCCAGCGAUACGUGCCCGUGUCAGCAAUCCGGAGAUCGCAUUCCGUUUCUAAACAACCGACCCCGAAGUCUGUCAAUUUGAGGUGGAGAUCCUCGGUGAGAACGAGGUUCUCCGACUUAAGGUCACGGUGGACGACACCUUGAGAAUGCAAAUACUCCAUCCCUAGCGCAACGUCCAAUGCCAUCGACAGAAUCGUCUUUAACGCCAUUGAUCCUGAUUCAUGUUUGUGAAGAAAUGCUCUCAGGGAGCCGCCGGGGACGUACUCCAUGAUGACACAGCACGCUGGGGGUUUCCAUGAGGCGGCUACGAACUCUACAAUGUUAGGGUGACGGAGCUGGGAGAGACAAUGAACCUCUUGCAUGAACUGGCGCUCCAACCUGGCGGCAGUUGCAGCAUCUUCACAACUGUCGAGCCUGAGGAGCUUCACAGCAACGUCUUGGUCCCUAUAGACACCUUGAUAGAGUCGGCUGUGAUUGCCGGACGCAAACCUCUGCCCCAGGAAGAGUGCUGACAUGUCGCAGACGUAUUGCUCUGGCACCUCCAUCUCCAGAUGCGGUGCUUCCGCUUGAGAGACUUCAACGAAGUGUGCCCACGACGCGGAUUUUUUCAUGGCGGGGAACUUGACCUUCUUGCUUUUGGAUGUUGGUUGGAGUUCCAUGGUAUUAUUCCUCUGCAUAUUUGGACCAAUGCUUUUCUGUUUCCUCAACCAGUUGUGGCUGGCGCUACCUGUACUGCCGCUGUCGAUCUUGGACCUGGUGGGCGGGCUAUCUUUCUCAGGACUGCUCUCUAGCGACCUAAACUUGGCCUUCUGCGCAGUUUUCUCCAACUCCGCCUCAUCCUGAUUCUCCGGUCCGGUGAAAUGAACCCCUAGCGAAAUAGUCUUCGUCUUGUGCCCCGUGAAAAAUGGCAAUCUGUGAUGGAAAGCUUUGGUACCGAAGUUUAAUUUCCCCGAUGCAGUCGUACCUUGAACCGGCUCCGUAAUCGUCACUUUCUCCCGAUGCUUCGCCAUCAUGGAAACCAAGACCUCCGUUGUCGGCUGCAACGCCUCAUGCCACACUAAACCCUGAUCGACACCGCUCCUCGCAAAACCUCAGCAUGAUUCUAAGUUCUCGGAACCUAUCCAUUCACGCGAUCACAAGAACGUUGCAUUGAAACUCUCAGGAACGUCCCAAACACCAACAUCACAGGGGUGCUACACAACAAAUCUUUUUCUCACUCUCCUCCCCAACCCCCGCCCCAUCAUCGCCAUCUUCCAUAGCCCUAAACCCUGGCGUGCCAACAACCAAACGCUUCCCUGAGUCUGUGAACAAUCAAUCACAACAUGAAUGCCUCUAUUGGAACGUCAUCACCAUCUCCAUCCACAAUCGCUUCCGCCAUCAUCCUUGCCGCCCCCUGAAAGUCGUUGUCUACAAACAGUAUGUCGUGCACGAGCACAUUUAAGUAGCCGGCAGGUACCAGGUGUUCGAACGAGGUUAAAGAAGCUCCUCGUUGACAACCUCCUCCCCCUUCAUCCCCAUCGGCAGACGAAGUGGGCACUCACCAUAGCCAAGGAGCUCUCCUUGGUCCCAGAGGCUUUGACGAUUUGACUUUGCCGUCAAGUCUCGUCACAGACGCCUCUCUGGGUUCAAAGAGAGUUCGGUUCAUCGAAGCAAUAAGUAAGAACUUUUCUCCCGACCUCUCUACCUGGGCCUACUCACUGUACAUCCUCUGCCACAAUCCAUCCGGAUUCAAAUCAACUAACGGACAAAACCCGUGUUCUGUUUCAUAUUCCUCGGAAAGAUACCCUCCAGAAGGAAUUGACCAAGUGCAAGGCACGCCACCCUCUCUCCAGACUCUUAACACCGCGGCAUCGCUCUGAAACUUAGGGAUCACACUCAGAUAAUCCCUCCGAUGCAAUCCUCAGCCGAAUCCGCUCCCUAAUUCGUCGCGUCUGCCACCACGUGGUCAUCUCCGCCAGACAUCAGACACCACAAAUAAACUCCCCCAUUCGACCCACGAGAAAUUGGGCACAUCUAUGUAAUGUUACUUAUCCUUCCUCCUCACUGUAACCUCUUGCGAAUUCCGCCAGAUGAGGGUGAGCUUGUCAAAGAUCAGGUUGAUGGUUCCCGAUCCAAUCACGGCUAAAUUUGGCGAAAUUUUCCAUCCAUGGGACCGGGUCCUUCUGUUGCUUGGCCACCGAGCACGAGCAGAACUGGACUCCAGAUAAAGCAUCAGGUGCGGUGACAUCCAGAUUUUCUAGGCAAUUUUACAGGCUAGCAACUGCCAUCCACAGUGCAAUGCUACUGGCACAUAGAUGUUCAAAAGAAAGAAACAGGAAAACAAAAAACAAAAAGAAGACGAAGAUAACAAUACAAACGAAUGUGAAUCAGACAGAUACCACCGUGGAGACCAACGCAUAGGCAUGAUUAUGCUGCGACACAUGUCGGAUUCGGCACCAAUCCGCGAAUGUUUCCGCUGAGAGUGGGGUCCACUUCAUCCUCCUCCUCUUCCUCCGUCGUCGCCAUCUCUUUUCGGUGGUGCUUGCCAGUUGACUCUCCCGUGCGCCUCGUUUUCGUCGUGAAAAUAUGCCAAAAGUGCUCGGCGUCAGCUCGGAAGGAAUUAGGGUUUCACCGCCUUAACAGCGAGUCCAACACGUCGUCUGAAGCCAUCACUGCGAUGCAGCUACCAUUCAACCGCUCGCCGCCAAUCUCUAGUGCAGUCUCCGUUAUCGAUUUAUUCUUCGGGUUGGUGGGCGGAAUUCGACAACUAGUUUCGGAAACCGACCUCGCGUCGCGAGUCUCGAGCUUAUCACCAAAUCCUAAUCCCCAAAUCCCAACCUCGAAACCCUAAUCUUGAAACCCUAAUUGCCUUGUUCCAUAAAGCACAAAAAUGAAGAACUGUACAGUAUUUAAAAUUAAAAUUUAGGGUGAAUUUUGUUUGCAAGUGGGUAGUGGUGAGAGAUAAUAUGGAUGAGAGCAGUUUAUGUAAUUUUUUUUUUUUAAUAAUUGUAAUGGAAAUAAUAAAAGUAAUAAAAAAGGGCACUGUUUUUCAUUUUCUUUUUCUUUUUCCUUGUUUUUUGCUGAGACAAAUGCCAAGAUAAUUGGGGAAUUUUGUCUUGAUGAGGAUACAACUAAAUUUUCAAGUGGAAAACAAAUUUCUAUCACUGGGUAGAUGAGUGAUGAUAUUCUCAUAAAAUGUAAGAUGGUUGAUUUAUUUAUUUAUUUAUUAUUUGAUGGUAGUGUUCAAAUUCUCCUUGAUCUCAAUGUAUUAUUUACAUAAUGCAUAUAACUUUUUGUGCCGGCUUAUAUGUUUAGUGAUUUUGUAAAUAUCUUUUAUUCUGUAAGCACUCAAUGUAAAGCAAGUUGGCCAUGUUACACAAAACUGAUAGAAACUAAUGUAUAUGAUUUGAUAAAUACAUGAUUAUUGAUGAGAAACUUUAGAUUGAAUAAAAAUAAUGUCCUCUAAUUAUUUGUUUACAUACAUACAUACAUACAUAUAUAUAUAUAUAGCAUGUUGUUGUAAAACACUAGGUUAGUAACUUAAGUUAUUGGUUAGGAAGAUUUUACAAAAAUCUACCGUGUCCAUAAUUUUACUAUGUGUAUGCACACAUGUUUUCUUUAAUUAACACGAAUGAACAAUAAUAUUCAAUAAAAGUAGUAUAAAAUGUUGAACAUGCCAUAACAAACAAUCAAUAAUAUUUCUACAAUAAAAUAUCAUUAAUAAUCUUACAAUUAUGAAACAAUAAAAAUUAGGCGGUAGCCUAGGUUACACAAUAUCUAAACACAAAUGAAACUACACAAAGAUGUAUUCUAUUGUAUUUCACUUUGUUUUCAACAUGUCCAAUUUUAAUCAUAUUAUUUUGUUAACAGGAAAGACUUAGUUGUAUUUCUAAUAAAAUUUAAUACUCUACUCUUAAAAAUAACUUUAUAUUAUUUUGGUCACAAUUCAAAAUUGGGCACAUCCAUUAUUAAAACAUUAAUUUCAACAUCCAAUUUCAAAAUCAAAUUAAUUCAGUAUUAAAAAAAAUAUUCCAAGUAGUUAUAAUCUUUGAUGUAUGCAAAUAAGGAACCACUAUAUCUGAACGACUUAAUAGUAUUUUAAAUGUUUAAUUUCACUUUCUACAUUUUUAGAAUUCAACAAUUUGUUUGUAAUUUAUACUUUGAUGCUUCAAGUAUUGGGAUGUAAUCAAAGUCCUUAAUUAAAGAUAACCAUUAAACACAAAUAAAAUAAAGGCGCCCUGUCUUCAACUUAGGAAAAAGUUGUUGAAUGUCUAAUGGCUUUAAUUGGUAAAUGCAACGGUCAACCAAUUUAUGCACACAAUAACAAGACUUCUAUUUUAAACAUAGAAAUAUGGCACUUGCAUUAAGGUAAUUAUAAAUCUACAAAAUGGAGUGUUCCAUGAAGCACAUGCAAAUUAAUAGAGAGAAUACAAGUGGAGUUAAUAUGAGUAAAUGAUUGUUGAUUAAGAGGCGAUAAGACAAGUUGGUGAGAGAUGAAAACUCAACAAGAGGCAAGGACCAACAAUAAUAAUAAAGUAAUUAAUGAGAAAUAAAAUAAUUUUAUGAACACUGCGAGCAUGCAACUGUGUAUGGAUUGGUCUGUAAAUAAAAACACCCCAACAGAAACCUCCUCAAAAUCAGUGCAGAAAGCAAAAACAACGAAAGCCUCACAUCACCAUUAGCACUGCAUUUCAUUCUAAAUCCUAAACUGGUGUUCAAAUCCUAAAAAAAUAACACUACACUCUGAUAUGAAAGAUAAAAAAUCAUCAAAAAAAAUCAAGUGGGUUUGUGUGCAAUGAGGGCAAACCUUGGCCAGAAAAAUUAACGAUGAGAUAUACAUGAUAUUAUGAAAAGCUCACAGAUUUGCACAUGAAAGGAUGGAAACAAAGGAUUCCACCUUUCAAUCUGAGCACGCAGUUCAUGAAAUUUCGAAACGAAGAAGAUGGAAGAAAGUCCACAAAAUGUGCUACAGAAAAGCAGUCAAGAGGUGUCGGCACAAAGGGGUGGGUCUGCGGCACUGGUGGUGCAGAGCUUCUGCUCCACCUAAGUCGGCACAAUCCUCUACUAACUGUGCCCACAAUGUAGAUAUAAUCGGUCGUGUAUGCAGCUUCUCGCAUCAGUGACCCGUCUCUUGCAAAGAUGCAAACGCAUGAGUGAUAAUGAAACCGAGGCCUGUCAAGUGCACUGAGGUGAUGGGCGGAUGCAAGUGAAUCUGUAACGUAUCGCACUGCACGCGUGGUUUUGGAGAACCCCUGCGAAUCGAAGACUUUCGUGAAUCUGGAGCACUGUUUGCGGCGCUGUACUGAUUGCCAUGCACUAAUAGCAUGCAUGUACAGAUAAACUCGAUGGGGGUUCGACAAUGGUGGCGCUUUCGGUGUCACUGUUUCGAUUCCUCGCAGAACAUAGACUUCACGGCUGGCCAUUCUUACAGCUAUGUCAACGAGACCCCAUUUCUCCUCAAUGGUUUAAGUAAUGUUCGUCUGGUUAUUUUCCUGCAUAGUGUAGCCUGCAGUGACUAUCUGUAUGUUGCGAACGCAGCACCCUAGACGCCUAUGCUGCAGCUCGUCGUGAAGACUAGGGUAUUACUCCCAGAACACUGACCUAGUAUAAUUUAGUUCCAACAUGAUGUACCCCACUACAUGCUUGGCAUUUGCUCCUCACACACUUGAACGAUCCCGCGGUGACCUGGUUCAUAAUCAAACAACAAGCCUGUGCAGGUCCACCUUCUCAUCAUGGUAAAUCCUGCUCAACGUGGUGCUGCUACUGCUGAGGAGUAGUAGUGAGCAGUACCCUCCUAGUUCUUGCGUAACAGAUGAACAUGGCAGACACGGUUCUUCCUUCGUUGAAUUGCUCCUCCUCCUCCUCCUUCUCACUUGUGCGACUGAAACCUCAUCCGAUCUACCUCCGCUCCAAUCCAUUCGUCUCUUUGGAUUCAUGGGUGGUAGCGAGUGAGGGAGGGUCCAGGCGCUCUCAGAGACCAUGAGACAGGCCAUCCAUCACCAGAAUCGAUAUCAGGAUGUCCACAUGGUCGAUUACUCCUCUGCAGUGAGUGAGUGAGUGAGAGUGCCGAUGUUGUCUUCCACUUUUGUCGAUCACGCAUAAUCAGCCCGCAUUGAGAGAGCUGGCCCCCGAGUCUGUUACGUUGCACACACACAAUCUAUCAGGUGUUCCUGUGCAUGCAUGCAUGAAUGAUUGAGUGAAGCAUUGCGCUAGACCUGGUGGCACUGGCAUUUGUGAUAGCAGCCAGUGAGAUUUUUGCGUGCUGGUUUUUAUUUUUGUGUGUGUUUUGUGUGUUGCUCAUGAUCGAAUAAGCCCACCCCCCUGGUUGACUGGAAUCAUUCUAUGACUAUCUUCAAGUCGACGCUGAUCGAACUUGUUCGAUCAUGCUUGAGUCUGCACUCCGUUUCAUGCACUAUGUAUGCAACUGUUUGUUCUCAACACAUCUCUCUUUUAAUGUGAAUAUAUAUAUAUAUAUAUAUAUGUAUAAAACAUCUCAAAUGGAUAAACCAACUAGGUAUAUCUCAUUGUUUUUGUAAAAAGUAAAACAAAAAGUAGCAAUAUAUAUAUAUAUAUAUAUAUAUAUAUAUGUUGUUGUUUCAAAUUGCCAAGAGUAGCACUAUAAGUUUACUUGGCAUGGAGCUUGGAAACACCACAAUGUAGAACUAGGUGUAACAUGGAGUUUUACAUCAUAUGAAGCUUCAAACCAAAAGUUAAUUUAAAACACAGAGUUUAGAAUGUUUUAUCAUGCUCAAUAGCACAAGUUUUGGCUCAUAUAUAUAUAUAUAUAUAUAUAUAUAUUAUAAUUCAAGAAUGUGAUAAUCUCAAGAAAUAAGUUCUUCCAAUAAUAGAAGCUCCAUUCAAUAGAAGUGAGACAUUUGUAGAGUUGAACUUGAGUUUGCAAACAUUUUAUUUGAACCUUUGUAUGUGUGUUGGUUUUACUCUAAUAUUUGCAAAUCGUAAAGUAGGAAGCACUUGGAGAUGUUUGCUAAGUCUAUCAUGUUUCUAACAUGAAAGAAAACUUGGCAUACAGAUGUUUACUUAUAUUUACUUAUUAAAUUUAAUUUUAUAGCAAGUUUCUUUGUUGGUGUUUCUUUUUGUCUAUAUAUAAUAAUUCAAUAAAUCACCAUUAGUAUUUAUUUAGCUUUUUUAAGUGAAUAUUAUUGAUUUUUUUAUGAUUGCUAUAAAUAAAAAGUGAUCUAUAUUAGUAUAAAGAUAUGUAAUAUGAUAAAAUAUAAAUAUAUAUAUCAAAGAUAAUCUAGUAAAAAAUAUUAUUGAUUAUUUAUAUUUAAAAUUUGAUGUGUUAUUUAUAUUUUUUAAAAGAUGAAAUAUUUCAUCAAGACUUACAUAUCUUUUUUAUUUUUAAUCUAUAUCAAUGUUUAGAAACAACUAAUUUUUUUUGGAAAUUUAUGAAAUAAUAAAUUUUAUUUUUUUUAAAAAAUAAAUUAUUCAUUUAUUAUAUAUAAUAAUUAAUUAUUAUGUAUCUAAAAAUUUAAUUACAAAUAUAUUAUAACAUCUAAUAUCAAAAAAGUAUUAAAUUUUUAUUUUUAGCUUCUUUAAUGGUCUUAAUUUUAAAUUCUAUCAAAAAAAAUUGCUUCUUUAUUUUUUAAGUUUUGUUUUUUUUAUUUCUAAAUGCCAUUUUGUAAUUGAUCCUCUAGACUUAGAAAAAUAAAAGUUUUGAAUUGACUGAGUUUGUUUAAUAAAUCUAUAAGCUACAACAAACUAGAUGUAUGUAUAAUAUCUUUUGGAGAUAGAUAAUAUUUAUUUCAAAUGUAGGUACUCUAUUCUAAUAAAGCAAAAGGUAUUACUUCUCAACCUUGAAACUAUAAGAAAUGUCUACUCAGGCUUCUUCAAUGUGGCCUAAGUUGAAAUUUUAAAAUAACUACUCUUUCCUUGUAACAUCAAUGAUCUUUAAAAUUUGUACUAGAAAUAGAGUUUUGUCCAAUUAAAAUAUGAGAAUAGGAUACUUGGACCUUAUUGAGCAAAGUAUAAUAUAUAAAUACUCUAAUACCACAAGUCUUGCAAAACUAGUAGUUGACACCAUCUAGUAGGAUAAUAUUUUAAACUUAAUCUAAAUAAUUAAAAAAUAUAUAUAAUAAUAAAUAUAAAAAUAUUUAGUUUAUUUUAUUAAAAAAAGUAGAAAAAUAAAAUAAAAAAUUGAUAUAAAAUUGGUUUAAAGAAGUUAUAAUUUUUUUAAGAAAUUUUUACAAAAAACAGUUUAUGAACAUAACAUUUGACUAAAUUAAUCUAUGAGUUUUUUAAACAUCAAUUAUAUUGUAAGAAGUUAAUUACGUUAUUAGAUAUAUAAUUAUGUAUUAAAAAUAUAAUAAUUCUAAUAUUAAUAUGUAAUUGAUUGAAUAUACAUGUAUUGAAUCUAUUAACUUUAAAAAAAUUCAAAAUUUUGCAUAUUAUUUUAGAACCACUUUUUAGGUAGUGAAAUAAACAAAUAUAGUAUAAAAUAGUUUUUACAAGUAUUUGAAUCAAAAAAAAUUUAACAUUAGAUUUGAAAAAAUUAAAACAUAAAACUUUAAAAGUAAUGAAAAAUGCAACGUCUAAUAUACUAAAUUGGAAUUUAUUAAUCCUAUUUAAAGUAUAUUAUUUUUCUUAUACAUUUACAUAAGUAGCUCCAUAUUAUUUUUAUAUUUAAAUUAUAAAAUCGUUGUUUGUUUAAUGUUUUUUAAUUGGAUUUUUUAUUCUACAUUUUAAAACUGUAUCAAGAUAGAUAAUUCAAACAAUAUUUCUUUUUUGUAUUAUUUUACAUUUACAAAGGUAAUCACUUAAAGUUUUUAAAUAAUAUUUUUAAUGCAGUCUAGUAAGCUUCCAAACAGAUAUGAAUCUUUUUUUGUAUCAACUAUAUAUAUAUAUAUAUUUUAUUCCUACCAAUUAUGGAUGUUUAAUACUCACUUUUAUUCCCUAAGAGGGUGAAUCUAGAUUUUUGAAGAGAAGAAUUGAAAAAUGAUAUGAAUCAUUUUGUAAAUUAAAUCAAUCAAAUAGAUUCCACUUAAGUUAAAACAAUCUGAUUUUGUAAAAUAUCUUCAGUAUAAAAAUUAUACAAAUAAAAUAUUAAAAAUAUACUACUAAAGUUGAAGAUUUUAAUUAAAUUUAUUCAAAUUAAAAAAAAUUGAAUGACAAAAAAAAUAAAAAGAAUUCUAAUCCUAAGAAUUCUUGAAAACCUAAAUGUUUUUUGAAUUUUUUUUUUCUUUCAAAUCUAAUAUCUGUGGUAAAAAAUAUAUAUUGCUUGAAAAAAUUACAAAUGAAAAAUUCUUAGUAACAAAUUAAAGUUUAUCUAUUUCUAUUUCCAUAAAUAUUCUUAUUAUAACAAAGAAUAGUUUAAAAAAUUUAGGUUUAAAACAUCAUUGUUAAAUAUUUUUUGUAUAAUUAGACAAUUUACCUUCAAGAAAGAAGUCAACUACAAAGUGGACUAAUAUUGAACCUAUUAUAGAAAUAACUUGCUACUUUUAAAGAACAUAGUAACAAGAAUAGCACAAAUGAUUAUAUAUAGUAUUCAAAGUUUCUUAUAAAUGUACCAAUUAUCUUGGUAAAGGAAUAAAUAUAUAAAUAAACAAAUCCUUGCAAUGCAAUAGUAUGUUAAUUUUUAUGGUCUAAUAAGUUAACAAUUAAUAUUUCUUAGUAUUUGACUGUGAUAGUUAGAUCCUUUGACUAAUUAAAUUCAGCUAAAAUUUUACAUUAGAAUAUAUCUUUUAGGGACAUUGAUUCAAAAAAGAAAUUUAAGAAAAUGAAGACUAAAAUUAACAAAACUGCAUUCAGAACUAGACAUUGAAAUUUGUAAGUAAUGUUAUGUCUAUUGAUCUCAGAAAUAUUUAAAGUACCUUUUAGCACAUAAUAAAUGUUGUUUUAUUUUUCUUACUUUAAAUUUUUAAUUUAUUUUAAUUAUUAUUUUAAUUUAUUUUCUUUUAAAAAAUCAUAUAUUUUAAAUUUUUUAAAUGCAAGCUCAUUUUUCAAGAUGAAAAAUAUACAUUUUAUUAACCUUAUUGGAAUUUUUAGAGAUAAAAGCCAUUUUAAAUAAUAAUCUAAAUAUAAAAAAAUAAGAAGGUAUCAUGGAUUGAAUGAUUUCCAAAUUUUGAUAAGAUUUUUGAGGCUUUUAAAAAACCUAUUAAUUAUUGCUGAAAAUUUAAUAAGAAGUGGUUUUCUAUAUUAUUAUAAUUAGCUUAUAGUUAUAAGACAAAAUAGAAUAGAUAUAGAACCAAAAAAAAUUUAAAGACAUAUAUCACCACAAGUAGGUAUUAAUUUUUGAAUAAUUACAAGAUUUUAGAACAAGAAACUCUACAUGUGUAAUAAUUAGUUUUACAAAUGAUGUCAAUAUCUUAAAGACAUUUCUACUUAUAUUAAAAUUUAUACAAAUAAUAAAUAUACUAAGUAUAUUUUAUCAAUAUGUGCCUUAAAUUUUAGCCAAGCGCAUUAUCAUAUAUUCUCAUCACAACUCGUAUUUAAUAUUAUAAUAUUUUUUUAUAAAAAAUAAUUUUUUUGUAAUAUGUUUGUCAUUGAGUUGACCAAUUUUUAUUGAUUUAUAAUUGACUUCACACACAAUAAAAGACAAUAGUUUAUAUUAUACUCUUAAAAAGACAGAAUUUAUUUUAUUAAAAAUUAAAACCAAGAUAAUAUAUAUUUUCUUAGCUAAAAUCAUUAGAAAAACCAAAAUUGUGAAUGAAAAGUCAAGUAAAUAUCUAUAAUGGACUAUCUUUUAUUUUUAAGAUAAAAGAAAAAAUAUGUUUCUAUUUAUAUAAUUUUAUAGAAAAACAUGGAUUAUUUUUCUGUUGGUAAAGACUAUUUCUUUCCAAUUACAAUUAUCAUCUUUUAUUUGAUACUGUUAAAAUUUAAAAACUUGAUAAUCUGAAAAUAAAGAGUCAACAUAUUUAUUAUUAUAAAAUUAUAAAAUUCCUAAAAUAAUGUAAUUAAAUAAAGCCUUAUCAUUAAAAAUAUUCAAUAUUCCUUUUUUAGAAUUAAAAAUCUCUAUUCGAAGUUAAUAAUAAUAUAUGAUUACUUUUUUUUUAAAAAAAAAUUAUAAUAAAAAAUUUAAAAUUAUAUAACAAAAAAAAAGCUAAAUCUCUUAUGAUUCAAUCAUGUAUUAAUUCAAAUGCAUAAAAAUUGAAACUACUAUAAUCACCAAAUAUUCGAUUUGUAGUGUAGAUUAUUUUAUUAAAUUUUUAUAUCUAUAUAUAUAUAUAUAUAUAUAUACACUCAUUAAGAAAGAUAAUACCUCUAAUUUAUGAAAAAGAAAUAAUACCAAGAAGUAAAACAUUUAAUUAUUAUAUUUUGUAUGUACAUCUUUUUAUCUUAAAUAUGUAUGUUUAAUAAUUUUAAAAAAUAAAAUAAUGGUUACAAUAACAUGUACUUCUUCUAAAUUAUCACAGUUAAAUAAAAUUAAAGCUUUGAAGCCAAAUGCAGUAUGUGUUACCUUUUCUUGUUUUGCAUCUGCUUUCUAUAUUUGAGGUGCUAUUUAACUAAUACAAAAACAAAACCCAGUCUUUGAUAAACUUUGUUUUGGAAUGAAGUGAGAAAUAUAUACAUACAUACACAUAUAAUAAUAAGUUAUUUCAAAUUAAACCGUUUCUAUUUAUAGUUAACAUAUUUUUGUUUAUUUAUGUUUUUAUCACUAAAGAUAUAAAUCAUGUUUUAGAAUUUUGGUUUUUAUUAUUUAUACAUAAUCAUUUUUUAGAAUAUUCAUUAAUAUACAUAUAUGUAUAUAUAUAUAUAUAUAUAUAUAUACACACAAGAAAAUUAACCAAUUAGGAAGAUGAAUGAUUUUUAAGUCCUAAAUGUGUUUGUGUUAGUAUAGUUAUAAAUAUCGAACUUUGGCUGUUAAAUAUAUUUUUUUUUUGGAAAUUUUUUGAUAUUUCCAAUAGACAAUUAAAUUUCCACCACAUUUAUAUUAAAUAUUAAACUUUUGAUAUCAAAAUGACAUAAUAUCAAUAUAUAUUUAUUUAUUACAGUUACAAAGAUUUUGCAUCAUAAUUGCUUUUCAUUAAUUAAGAAAUUUGGUUUCUAAAUCUUGGUAAGUUAGAGUACAGAAUAUCUUUUGGGAAAUUGCAAACUUGUAAUGUCAUACAUUCAGAAUUGAAUUUAAACUUUAAGACAAAUAUCUCUUUUUAAUAAUUUUAUAAAGAAUUAUUUUUUAAAUUUUUAUUUCUCAUUAAUCAAGGAUUAACGUCCUUUCUCAAAAAUUUAUCCGAUUAAUCAUCUUCAAGGAUAGGCUGAAAAUAUUAGCCAUAAGCAUAUUUUUAGGCCAAUUGCUAUUUUGUAAUAAAAAAAUUACAUUUUCUACAGAAUUUAAGGAGUUUGUUCAAAAUACAUUAGGAAAAUGUUUAUUCUUUAAAUAUCUUAAACAAGUGAAAACCAUUUGUUGGCUUUGUCUGUUAUACAGAAACUUAGAAUGAUCAUUCAUGUGUUGCCAAAAUAAAAAAUCAUCAUUUUUAUCUCUUUUGUAUUUUGCAUGAGUCUUCAAGAUAUUGCUUUCUAAUUAUCCACAUUUGAUUAUAUUCAUAACAUUCAAUAAAAGUUCAUGUGAAACUAUAAAUUAUCAUACAUGUAUGUAUGAUUAUACUCACACUGGUAUGCAUGUGUAUAUAUUUGUGUCUACGCAUACCUUUGUAUUUAUAUUAUUUAAAAUUAAAUAAACUAAAGAAAUUUCAUCCUAUAUUAUUUAAAAAUAUUCUCUAAUAAUAAUAAUAAUAAUGAAAUAAAUUUAAUACUUUUUAUUACCUUUUUAAUAUUAUAUGUAUCUAAAUAAUGCAAAAUAUUUAUUUUGGUGAUACACUAAUACUAGCACACAAUCCAGCACAUAACAAGUUUUUAAGUUUAACUCUAAUAAAUGUGCCUAAAAUAAUAAUAUUGCAUUCAUCCAUUAAAGGAUGGAUAUCCAUAUGGAUGAAUGAAACUAGAAGCCUUGGAAACCCGGCAAAGAGGGCAACUAAUACGAGAAAAGGACUCUGGGACCAGCUCAUUCCUUUGGGCUGGGCUCUGCCUCCGUAUCUUAACCUGCUUCAUUAUUAUUAUUAUUAUUAUCAUUAUUAUGAUUAAUUUAGAGCUUAUUUAUAAAUCCAUUUAACAUCUAUCAUUCCAAUUUUAUAUAUUGGAAAAAUCAAUCACUUUAUACACACACACACACAUAUAUAUAUAUAUAUAUAUAUAUAUGUGUGUGUGUGUGUGUGUGAGAGAUAGAGAGAGAGAAGGGGGGGGGACUAAAUAAAAAUAAAAUUUGUGUUAAAAAUUAACAUUUCAAUGUGGAUGUAAUGGAAUGUCAAUAUGAAUUGAACAUAAGUGUAAGUCUAUAUUCUUGCAUAUAUUUGUAAAUAAUUUAUUCCCUUACUCAUAGUCAAGUGAGCCCAGAGAAACCAGGAAUUUUGUUUAGAUUAGUAGGUUUUUAAGAGCUGAUUUAGAUGGAGAACUUCAGUUUAAUAAUGCAGUAUUUUUGUUUAGAUAAUUGGGCUUGUUGUUAGAAUGGUUUAUGUUGUUCUUUUUCACAAUGUGGGCCAUGUUUUUUCUCCUUACAUGACCUUUUAUAGAUUGAUAUAUAUAUAUAUAUAUAUAUAUACUAAAUGUUGUUGUUUUAAAACUCGUAUUGUGUGUUAGUUUGUUUAAACUUUAAUUAGAAAGAAAUAAAAAAAAAUAAAGUUAUCAGGUGAAGCCCUGAGUUACAUGGAUCCAUAAAAGCCAACUCAUCUCGGCAAGUGGGUUGUCAUUCAUCCAUGACCGUGUACAUCCAUCCAUCCUCCCAAGUACUCACUCUGUCAGUUAGCUAAGGACAGAUUUGUCCCUUUUUUUCUGUCCAUUCAAUGCCUGCACAAAUCUUCUCUGAAGCUUUGAUGAAGGUGGGUGACCUAUGCUUCAAAAUAAAUCAAUAAAUAAACAAAAUAAAAAUCAUUUGAAAUAAAACAAACAGAAUUAAUACUAAAAAAUACUAAAAAAUACUAAAAUUUUGAUGUCUUAAUCGCAAUUUAUAGUAAAUAUGCAAAUUUAUGCAUACAUAUACUUUUAAUGAUAAAGAAUAAAACGGAUAUAUAUAUAUAUAUAUAUAUAUAAUUGUUUCCCUUGGUUUAGAACUUUGGAGGACAAUAGAGGCAGUUUGUGAGAAAGAGUUGAAAGAAUAUGAGAUAUCUAUAUUAUGGGUAAGUUAUAUAGAUAUUAUGGGUAAUGUUGAACUUAUUUUUACAAGAUUUAAGUAAUAGUAAAUUAGCUAGUUUUGUAGAAACUAUGUGGUGUGGUAACAUGCUUUUAAGAUAUAUAUAUAUAUAUAUAUAUUUAUAUAAAUCUUAGAUUUUAUAAGGUUUGGAAAAUGUGGAGCAUUUGGUGCUCAUAUUCAUCUUCAAUAUUUUUUAAUUACACCGUAAUGAGAUCUAACUAUAUGACAUUUAAGCAAAUUGUUAUGUAUUUACAUUAUUUAUAAUGUAUCCAAAAAUAUUAGGGCCUUUUGUUAGGAAUAUAUAUAUAUAUAUAUAUAUAUCAAUACGUACAUCCCUAGCAACACAUUAAUAACCAAAGUUCAAGUUUGAGAUCCAGUCUUCUUCACUUUGUGACUAAAGACUAUGCAACAAAACAUUUGAGUUAUUGUUUUACCAACUUGCUAUUCUUAAACGGCAUAUAAUCUACUUGCUACACCAAAUUCUUCUCUUCCAUGCAUACAUGGAUGAAUGUAGAUGAUAAAAUAUGGAUGAGAGUGCAUACUAAUCAUUCACAAUCUUAUGAAAGGUGGUCAAAGGGCUACUUGACAUAGGGAUAUCACCAAUUAAUAUAACCAAGUGCCCUCAUUAAUGGAAGGUAAUGAUAAAUAUUGUUAUGGCCUUAUUGUAAAGGUGAUGUACCCUUUGAUAUAGAAAUUUAUAUGAUACCAAUACAUAUCCGUAAUUUUGUAGUUGGGAAUGGAAGUAAUUAUUUUUUUUUUUUUUUAAGAUGUAAGGGGGGAGGGGAAAAGAAGGUGACACAUUAAAUAAUGUCAAUGGAAAAUAUUGACAUCAAUGUCACUUGGUUUAGAUAAAAACAACUUGUCAAUGCAAUCAAGUUUGUCCUUGGGACCAUCUUACUCCCCCAUAACCUACUAUAGAGAUCAUGUUGGAUUGAGUGAUGUGAUAUGUGACCCUAAGUAAUGCAUUAAAAGAUUGAGAAGAAAAUAAAUUACUAAAUUAAUAUGGAUUUCUCAUAUCAAUAGGGUAAGAUGUACUGUUAAUUCAAACACCCACUGAAUACAUGAAAUAUAAAACUGGCUUUUUGCAUGGAAUCCUAACUAAAGUCAUGACCAUUUUGAAAUUUUGGAGCAGGCUUUGUAUGGGUUGAAAGCCACCCACAAAUAAUAACAAUAAUAAAUCUGAUAAAAGUUCUGAUAGAGAAUCAGGAUUAGGUUAGGGUUUGAGUGAUUUGUUCAGCUGGAUUAGUGAAUAUGAAACCACACAUAGAAAGUUGGAAAAUAAAAGAAAAAACCAUGUAGAAGCAUUUAAUUCAAUUUAACAUAUAUAUAUAUAUAUAUAUAUAUAUAUGUGUGUGUGUGUGUGUGAAUUGUUAAAGAAAAAGAAAACAAAUUUGUGAAGAAAAGAAGUAAAGUAAGAAGAAGUCAAAGGGUUGUGCAAUGAGAGGCAACAAUUAAACUAACACCUCUCAAAAGCUAACAAGAUAAAAGAAAUAGGAGGAGGGGUUCUUCAAUAACCUAGACAAUUCACUUGCCUUCUACAAAGGACUUCCACCUUUUUUACCAAUUCUUAUCAAUAGCAUGGCCAUUCUUGAUAUUAAUAACAUUAAUAACACAUUAUUAACACAAUGAGACAAUCAUGCAUGUGGGGGACCCAAAACAAUAGUAGAACCAAAAAAAACUAAAAAGUGAAAAGUAGAGGUGGCAAGUUCCAAGUUUUAUAAUUUGUUUUUGUGGGGGGAGGGGGGGGGGUAUGGUCACAUCCAUCCAUCCAUCUCCUCCUCCCAAGGGUCCAAUUCAUCCACCAUCAUAAAACAAAACAAGCCAUUAUAAUAUGCAUUAGAAUAUGAAGGCCAUGAGAGCCAUGCUAAUUUUUUUGUUAUCUAUGCCAUGCUUUUGGGGUCUUCUACUACAAGAGAAGGGGGUGCUUCCUUAUCAUUAGGUUCCAAAGGACAAAGGCAAGGCAAGUGCUUCGUUUGAUGGCCACCUCUUGCACAAGCUCCGCUCCCCAUUGGAACCCCAAGCUUGGAGUAGGUUUGGAUCUCCGAUACCCAAAAAGAAAAAGGAAAAGGAAAAGGAAAAGUACCCCACCCCCCCCCAACACGUCCACCUCAGCAUGCACCGAGAUGCGACCCCUGCCACGAGGGCACCCCACGACCACGUCAGCAGCCCCACCCCCGUCCCCCUCUCCCUCGUUGUGUGUGUACAUCGCCCCUCUCGUCGAAUGUAGAGCGUGCGAAUUCGGCGUUUGUUCGACGAAUUGCUGAAUUCUGACGCCCGUUGCUCGUGAGAUGUAAUCGCGACGGGUUAACAAGAAUCUCCGCGACGAAUCAGCCGCAAUCUUUUUCGCCCACGGUGACCGAAAUCGAGAGAAUAUUAAGAAUUGUGUUGUGUUUUGUGUUUUCGAGUUUUGGUGUUUUUGACUGAUUUCGGCGGAGUGAGGUGUUGGGGACGGGCGUGGGUAGGUGGGUGCGUGCGUGGGUUAGGGCAGGAUCGUCGCGAGGCAUGGCUACAGCGUGGGUGGUAAUGAGAGGUCACCAUGGGUCAUGUCGGUCGUGGAGGCAUUAAUGGGCUCGACUGGCUCCACAAGGCCGGAGGCGCAGCUGCCUCGUGCGAAGCCUGUGGAAGCGGCGUCACCCUGCGUGUUACAGGCUGAGUCUGGAGCGUAUUCAGAGCCGUUUGUUUGGUUAUGAAUAACCUUGUCCCGUUGUCCUCGAUCGUUUGGUCAAUUCAGAGCCUGUGGGGGGUCAGUCUGUCUGUCUGUAUGUCGAUCUGUAUUCUGCUGCUGCAGCUGUAGUCGAUGCUGCAGUGACCGAUCGCUCGUAUCUUCGUGCAUCCCCCUGAGAGAGAGCCCCCCCACUGCAGUCAUCAGCCAGCAGCUAUGGUCAUAGCUAACCUACAGGAUCAUGCAGCUGCAUGACCUUUCUGGUGGGUCGUCGUCCCCUUCCCUUGAAAAGCACAGUCGCACUGUGGACCCAGUCUUGCAUCAGUGCCUCGUUGUGAAGCAGAAGCUGGCAUCAAGUGUAGAAGACAUAGUAUCCUGCGGCAUCUUUGGGUUGUGCUCAUGACGGGCGGCGCUCUUCUUGACUAGCUGAUUGGUUUUCUCUUCAUUGCAGCGUCGACGUGUAGGUUUGGUCCUCUUUUGUGUGCACUGAUCCAUGAUCGGAGCUUUGUUAGGGUAGUCAAGGGGCUCGGCCAGUAGUUUUUGCGAAAAAACAAAAGACUUAGAGAAGAUAGUCAGGGUUCUGAGGUUAGUUUUGUUGGCAGCUCCUCUAAUCGUCAGGGUUUUAGCCACGAUGGCUUGUUAACACACCUCGACUUGGUUGAAAGAUUUGAUUACUUGGGGCGUCGUCGAACAUGCCACGAGGUUGUUAGUUAGUAUUGAGGGUAGCAUUUUCUGCACAAUUUUCGAGUUGGAAAAUUUUCCGGGAGUUCGCCUUGUUUAUCAUUUCUGCUUGCAAUGGAGAACUACUCACGGAAUAAACCGUGAGGAAAACUUCGGCUCCUGAACGUACUUAAUUUGGAAUGCUUUCCUGAAUGCGCUCGAGAAAAAUCUUAUGGGUGUGUAGAAAGUGCCACUGGGCUCGACUGCAUUGUUGUAGACGAUGCCAGCGCUUAGUGAACUUCCAAAACGGGAUGUUCUGAGACUAAGUCAAUGUGGGGAUUCUUCACCUGGCACGAAGGUAUCGAUGUAAACCGCCAUCGCCACGGGUAUGAAGCAUCAGUCGAAUUCCUUGUGCUGGUAGAACCGUUUGAUGGAAUUAAAAUACAGGAGCAGACCCACUGACCGUUCGAGUUUCGCAGACCAAACAGUGACGGCUCCUUGGAAGCUGUCAUUUUGAGCAGCCUAUGCUCGACAGUCUUACACCAACUUCGCUGUGCGAUCUUCCGGGAAUUUGUGCCAUUGAGGCACUAGCCGAUAAUUACUGCAUGGGAGACUUCCGCUCAGGUACUGCACGUCGACUCCUGCAACUUCUCAAUCAGACAGGGUUAUACUGCUUCCUUCAGGGCUGAUUGUAACAAAAAGUUUCUGUCACGACUGUAAUUUGCAACCAGCAAUGCAGAAGUUCUAUGACAUUCAUAGCAAUGCCGAUGAGUGCAAUGAUCAGAACCUGGUUAAUAUUUUAACUAAGCGAUGAAGUGAUCACCGACCCGUUGUGCAAAGAAACUGAAUUUUUUUGCGUCAGUUGUAGAAACUUCAUGCCGAUGUUAUGACCCUUUAGUAUCAUCCUUGCAGGUAAUAGCUGCCCUCCGGUUCAGGCUGCGGCGAAUCAGUGCUGGCAUUGGUUGGAUGGACGGGAAGAAAUAGCCAACUCCUUAGCCACUGGAAACCGCCUCAGAAGGCUGGACAGAGGGGGAAUCAUGGAUUUCUCCACUUCCAUGCAACUGAGGUUGCUCAUCCUGGCAAUUCUGGUGAGAGAGCUCCCUGAAGUGAUGGCCAUCAACGCCGAGGGAAGCGCAUUGUUGGCAUUCAAGCAGGGGCUUAUGUGGGACGGUUCCAUUGAUCCUUUGGAAACCUGGUUGGGAAGCGACGCCAAUCCCUGCGGAUGGGAGGGUGUCAUCUGCAAUGCCCUCAGCCAAGUCACGGAGCUCGCUCUCCCUCGGCUCGGACUCUCUGGCACCAUUUCCCCGGCGCUUUGCACCCUGACCAAUUUGCAGCACCUUGAUCUCAACAAUAACCACAUCUCUGGUACUCUUCCGUCUCAGAUUGGCUCUUUGGCCAGUCUACAGUACCUCGACCUUAACUCAAACCAAUUUUAUGGUGUGCUUCCUCGGUCGUUCUUCACCAUGUCCGCAUUGGAGUACGUGGAGUUAAGCUUCAACUCGUUCUCCGGAGAGCUUCCUGCUGAGAUUGAAGCACUUCGCCGUCUUCACACGCUCAUCCUAAGAGAAAAUUCUUUUACGGGAUCUAUUCCCGCGCAAGUCGGGAGCCUCGUUGAUCUGAAGCGGCUUGACCUCAGUUUCAACUCCUUCUCCGGCAUUGUCCCGCCGCAGCUGCAGGGGUUGGUGAACAUGGAAGAGUUGAGCCUAAGUGCGAACUCUUUCACCGGGGAAUUGUUUGCAAUCAACAUGAUGACUAAUCUCUACAGCGUCGAUGUUAGUGGCAACCUCUUCUCUGGGAGCAUCUCACCCCUCUUGGCCUCCUUGAAGAACCUCCAGGCGUUGGACUUGAGCAACAACUCGCUCUCAGGAACUAUCCCGACCGAGAUCUGGGGCAUGACGUCGCUUGUCGAGCUUUCUCUAGGUUCCAAUACCGCCCUCAACGGCAGCAUACCGAAAGAUAUCUCCAAACUUGUCAACUUGACGAAUUUGUUUCUGGGGGGUUCGAAGUUAGGAGGGCCGAUACCACAGGAAAUCACACAAUGUGCCAAGCUUGUCAAGCUCGACCUCGGUGGCAAUAAAUUCAGCGGUCCAAUGCCAACCUCCAUUGGCAAUUUGAAACGCUUAGUGACGUUAAAUCUGCCAAGUACGGGGCUCGUGGGCCCAAUCCCUGCUUCUAUUGGUCAAUGUGCCAACCUCCAGGUCAGUCCUCAUCGCAAAACCAUUCGACCUUCUGCAUUAAAUUCUGACAAUGACUCUUGAUCUCGAUGUUUUAGUGUCUUCUGCAUAAAUCUCAAACCUCCUCUGCGUGUGCAGGUGCUUGAUCUCGCGUUCAACGAGCUCACUGGCUCACCUCCCGAAGAGCUUGCUGCACUUCAAAACCUGCGAUCAUUAUCUUUGGAGGGUAACAAGCUGUCAGGACCGCUGGGUCCAUGGGUUGGGAAGCUGCAAAACAUGUCCACAUUGUUGCUCUCGACAAACCAGUUUAACGGCUCCAUCCCUGCCUCUAUUGGGAACUGCUCGAAGCUUAGGAGUUUGGGGCUUGAUGACAACCAGCUGUCGGGGCCCAUCCCGCUUGAACUUUGCAAUGCCCCUGUUCUGGACGUGGUCACCCUCAGCAAGAACCUUCUCACAGGCACGAUCACUGAGACUUUCCGACGAUGUCUGGCUAUGACCCAGCUCGACCUUACGUCGAAUCACCUCACAGGCUCGAUCCCUGCGUAUCUUGCUGAGCUUCCCAACUUGAUCAUGCUGUCUCUGGGCGCGAAUCAGUUCUCCGGUCCCGUGCCUGAUUCCCUGUGGAGCUCCAAGACCAUCCUCGAAUUGCAGCUGGAGAGCAACAACCUGAGCGGCGGCUUGUCUCCCUUGAUCGGCAACAGCGCGUCGCUGAUGUAUCUGGUGCUCGACAACAACAAUCUCGAGGGGCCAAUACCACCUGAGAUUGGGAAAUUGAGCACUUUGAUGAUAUUCUCCGCGCAUGGUAACUCUCUCAGUGGGUCGAUCCCCUUGGAGCUUUGCAACUGCUCCCAGCUCACUACACUGAACCUGGGAAACAAUUCUCUAACCGGGGAGAUUCCUCAUCAGAUUGGAAACCUCGUAAACCUUGACUACCUGGUGCUGUCGCACAAUAAUCUCACAGGGGAGAUCCCCGACGAAAUAUGUAAUGAUUUCCAGGUGACAACUAUUCCCGUUUCGACCUUCCUCCAGCACCGCGGCACCUUGGACUUGUCAUGGAACGAUCUUACAGGGUCGAUUCCGCCCCAGCUCGGAGAUUGCAAGGUCCUCGUCGACCUCAUUCUGGCGGGGAACCGAUUCUCUGGACCGCUGCCUCCCGAACUCGGUAAGCUGGCGAAUCUGACCUCACUGGACGUGUCGGGAAACCAACUCAGUGGCAACAUCCCCGCGCAGCUGGGCGAAUCGCGCACAUUACAAGGGAUAAACCUCGCGUUCAACCAGUUCUCGGGAGAAAUUCCUGCCGAGCUUGGCAACAUCGUCAGCCUGGUGAAGUUGAAUCAGUCAGGGAACCGACUAACGGGAUCUUUACCUGCGGCACUUGGCAACUUGACCAGCUUGUCGCAUUUGGAUGUGAGCAAAAAUUCCCUAAGCGGGAUGAUUCCAAUGGCGAUGGCCAAUCUGGUUUCCAUCGUGGGCAUGAACUUGGCAGAAAACGAGCUCAAUGGUAGCAUUGCGGGGCUGCUCUCGGAAAGCACUGUGUGGCGCCAAAUGCAGUCACUAAAUCUCAGCUGGAACCAGUUAUCCGGGGAAAUUCCAGCUUUGGUCGGGAAUCUCUCAGGCUUAGCCGUGCUCGACUUGAGCAACAAUCACUUUUCCGGCGAAAUCCCAGCCGAAGUGGGCGACUUUUACCAACUCUCGUACUUGGACCUGUCCAACAACGAGCUUAAGGGAGAGUUUCCCAGCAAAAUCUGCAACCUUCGCUCGAUAGAAUUGCUGAAUGUCUCCAACAAUAGGCUGGUUGGGUGCAUUCCCAACACGGGAAGCUGUCAAUCACUCACCCCGUCCUCCUUCCUCGGCAACGCAGGCCUCUGCGGGGAAGUUUUGAACACACGCUGCGCUCCCGAAGCCUCUGGCCGAGCCAGCGAUCAUGUCAGCCGCGCCGCGCUGUUGGGCAUCGUUUUGGCAUGCACCUUGCUCACAUUUGCGGUGAUCUUCUGGGUCUUACGCUACUGGAUACAGCGGCGAGCCAAUGCGCUCAAGGAUAUAGAGAAAAUCAAGCUCAACAUGGUGCUGGACGCGGACUCCAGUGUCACCUCCACAGGGAAGUCGAAAGAGCCGUUGAGCAUCAACAUUGCCAUGUUCGAGAGACCACUGUUGCGACUCACUUUGGCCGACAUCCUGCAAGCCACCAACAACUUCUGCAAGACGAACAUUAUUGGCGAUGGUGGGUUCGGGACGGUGUACAAAGCGGUGCUACCCGACGGUAGGAUUGUAGCCAUCAAGAAACUCGGCGCUUCGACAACGCAAGGAACUCGAGAAUUUCUGGCUGAGAUGGAGACUCUCGGCAAGGUGAAGCAUCCUAACCUGGUGCAGUUACUGGGAUACUGUUCCUUCGGCGAGGAGAAGCUUCUCGUGUAUGAGUAUAUGGUGAACGGAAGCUUAGACCUCUGGCUUCGUAAUCGAGCUGACGCACUGGAGAAGCUCGAUUGGAGCAAGCGCUUUAACAUUGCAAUGGGAUCCGCCCGAGGGCUUGCGUUCCUGCAUCACGGGUUCAUUCCACACAUCAUCCACCGCGACAUCAAGGCCAGCAACAUUCUGCUGGACGAGAACUUCGAUCCCAGAGUUGCCGAUUUCGGCCUGGCGCGGCUGAUCAGCGCGUACGACACGCACGUCAGCACCGACAUCGCCGGCACGUUUGGGUACAUUCCCCCGGAAUAUGGGCAAUGCGGGAGGUCCUCGACGCGCGGGGAUGUUUAUAGCUACGGGAUAAUACUCCUGGAGCUCCUGACGGGGAAGGAGCCCACAGGGAAGGAGUACGAGACCAUGCAGGGCGGGAAUUUGGUGGGGUGCGUGCGGCAGAUGAUCAAGCUCGGCGAUGCGCCGGACGCGUUGGAUCCCGUGAUUGCUAACGGGCAGUGGAAGAGCAACAUGCUGAAGGUCCUCAAUAUAGCUAAUCAGUGCACUGCGGAGGAUCCUGCUCGCAGACCGACCAUGCAACAAGUGGUGAAGAUGCUGAGAGAUGUGGAAGCCGCUCCCCAGUUCAAAACUCUGACGAAUGUGUAAUUGACCUUGUUAGGCAAUCUGAUGGGUUCCGUCACCGAUUCAGAUGGGGAAGCAUUCGUCUGUUCGACAGAUCGAGAUGUAGCGGAUACGUGCUUCACGCAGCACAGAGUUGUUUGUUCACGGUUAUUGCAUUCGAAGAUUCGAGCAGCUCACCACAACACGGUUGCUGGGAACAGGGGAGACAGCCAAACGUUGCGAAUACGGCGCUCGUCAAGUCGAGGUACUAAUCGACCACUCACCUUCAUUUAGCAAACAGCUCGGGUGUCCACCAAAAGCUGCGAUUUUUACCUUUCCGGACGCUUCUAACGAAACUGGAUUUCUCUGAUUGCGUCAGGGUAACACGUCGAGACCGCGGGCUCGUUUUGGAAGCGGCAUCCCACAAGUAGCCCAUCGUAGCUGAGAGCCCAGACUGGUUAGCCAUCGUGGCCAGCAUCGAACUUAUUUGUAUCAUUCAUAAUGUACCAUCUCAGGUUUACCGACAGGUGCAAAACCUGGAAAUCCGGAAGAGAGUGUAUCCGCCGCUUUUAUGUAAAAUUAUGAACUUCAAAGCUCGCUCCUCGCGAGUAUUUAAUUCAUCUGCCAACAUCACGUCGCUCUAUACUUUAAUCUCAAAAUGCAAUUUUUUCCUGUUGUGAAGCUUUUGAACUGUCAUGUGUUCAAAUCUUUCUGGUGCCAAGUAACUUUUAGCAUUUAUGAGAAUCUGCUUUUUCGUGUACUCCAUCGCUUGAGGCGGAUGGAGGACCUACGAAGCUACCUGCGAGUAGGGUCAACGACGAGGUCAACGCCUCAGUCGGUGAACAAGUCAACGUCGUCGCGAUUGUCGGUGGGAUGGUGCCGAGAGGAGUAUAUGCUUUUGGAACGUGGGAUGCCAUCUGAACUGUUUGGAUCGGGAAUGAAAUGACCCAGAUCUCAAUGGAAUGUGCCGAUGCCGAACAACAUAUUUGUGAGUUGACGGAGGAUGACGUUGUGAUGUUCCCUACCCAGGACAAGACCCGAGGCUAGUUUGUGAAAUUUUGUGAGCAUUUGUUGAUAUUCUUCAUGAAUUUUGAUUCAUCUACUUUCCUCCCUCUCAGCAAGUAGAAAAUCAGAGAAGUAUACUGUGGAUUUUGAUAGUAGAAUUGUGUUGUAGGUCUCCUAUUUCUCUAAAUAUUUUCUUUUAUUUUGUAUUAUCAUCAGGGUUUUGCAUACUUAUGAUUAUUAUUAUUGUAUGUAUAUAUAUAUAUAUAUAUAUAUAUAUAUGCAUGUGUGUGUGUGUGUGUGUAUUUAUAUGUAUGUGAUUUAUUAAUAUGUGGUUUGUAAAUGCACAAUUUUGUUGUAAGAUUUCAAAAUACCAAAAAAUUCAAAUUACCACAUAGAAAAAGACAAGUUAAAGAAGGAUGCAGCUUCGAAAUAAUUAUUGUGAUAAAGAAUUAAUAAUUAAUUAUAUCAUAAAUAUGCUAGUAAAAAGUACUGAAUUAAAAUGAUUUUAUAGGCUUUGCGUUUUAGCACAUUGAAUGCUUAUUUGAAUAUUAUAUUUCUGAAAAUAUAUAACCAUAGAAAUAUAUAUAAAUAUAACUCUUGUUAUCAGAUAUUAGAAAUUUAAAAAAUGUUUUUUACAUUGGCUUAGUUCCAAAUAAAAACAGUGACAUUGUCUUAAUCUUGGACCAAAGUAGGUAGAUUAUAUUUAUAUAUUUGUUAAAGACAUAAUAUAUUAAUGAUUUGUAGAAAAAUGUCUUCUUAAAACAAUUGUUUAUCUGCAAAAGAAAAGAAAAGAAAAGAAAAUCAUCUUGUAGUCAUUGUCUUUAUCUUGUUUUAUCUUACCUUGUUUGAUAGUGAUUUAAAAUUCUUGAUGAAAAAAUAAAAACUUUAAAACUUUAUAACUAUAAAAAUUAGUAACUGUAAUGAAAACGCUUACUGUUUACUUUUUUCUUUUGGUUUAAGUGAAAUCAAUUACACUAAAAACCAAAAAAAUAAAAUAAGAAUACACAAUAUAAAGCAGAUUAUGAGUUGUUUUGAAGAAAAAGUUAUUUUUAUGAAUUAAAAAUUUUAUGUUUUUUAAGUUUAAAAUAUACAAUAAAAAACAUAAUAAGAAAGUCUCUUUUGAUAAAUUGAGAUGCCAAUUGAUUAGAAAGAGUAUUUCUAAACUUUACAAGAGUUUAUUGUUAUAUAUUUUAAUGACCAUAAUGUAUUGCAAUGGAAUAUCAGAUUAUUUACAGAUUGCAACAAAUAAAUAAAAAUAUAAAAAUAUAAUUUUAAAAUUUUUAAUCCUAUUUGAUGUAUAAUUUCUAUAUUAGAUUAAGUCCAUAACUAUACCAUUUUGUUGCUAUUGUUGUUUAAAAGCUUACUAUAUAUUAUAAUAUAUUUUUUACAAGAGAUAAUAUUUUUUUAUUAUUACAUCUUCUUAUGUAAUACAAUCAAGUUCUUAUCAUUAUUAUCUUUAAACUUCAAUUUUCAAAUGCCAUUGUUGUUUUAGAAUAGCUACAAAAAAAAAAAAAAAAAAAAAAAAAAAACUUAAGAAAACUACUUAUUCAACAAUGUUCAUUGAUGCAUAUACAAAUUUUUGUAAUAGUAUAUGGAUAGAUAUUAAUAGUAUUAACUUUCAUAAAAUAAAUUACAAAAAAAUAAGAUGAUGUUGAAAUAUUUUUUUCAAAAUUUUAGAGAAUGAUUAAAUUGUUGUGUAAAUAAAGAUCAUCAUUCAAAACAAAUUUAGUGCCAAAAAUCAACACAAAGUAUGCAAUCUAAACCAAAUACAAAUGCACUCUCAAAGAAAGUUGAAAAAUCUAAACAUUGCUAAGUUAAGCUAUCUCUCACACUACAAAGAGAGAAUCCAAAAAUGCAAGUGUGUGUAGAGAAAACCUUAAAAACUUUACUAAAAAACUAAUCAUUGUAGUUAAAUAAAAUCUUACAACAAUGACUUUUUUUUUCUUUUAAAAUCACUUACAAGAAUGUCAAGGGAGUUUCUCUACCUAAGUCUUCAAACCAUAGUUGAUACUAUUAAGAUCAAGUAACAAAAAAUAUUAAUUAAAUAAAAAUAUACUAAAUUGAACAAAACUAGAUUAUAUCCAUUUUAUGCGAUUUGAUACUUGAUGCAAUAUUAGGUGAUAAUUAUUAUAUAAAUAAAGAUUAUCAUAUACAAUAGAUUGAAUGCCAAAAAUUAACAUGAAGUAUGCAAUCUAAAUCAAAUAUAAAUGUAUGACAAAUACACUUUGAAGUAUCUCCCUCCACCUCUUCUUACCUGAUUGGAAGCUCCUCCACUUAACUAUGAUGAUAAUAUACAUGUACUUGGAAAUAGACCAAGUUAAUGUUAUAAUAGCUAGACUAUCAAAAUAUAUGGCCAAGAUAAAAGAAAGAAUCACCAAUCCUUGUUAAGAGUUGAGACAUGGCUAAAAGAUUUCUCAUAAUAAGGAUAAAUUAAUUUCUUAAACGAAUAGUUGAAAGAAGUGAUACCAAGCAUGUCAUAUAUCAUCCACAUUACCAUUGAUUACAUAGUAGUAUAGUAACAAUCCAUUUCUUCCACCACAUACAAAACAAAAAAGACCAUUUAGCACAACAAUUAAUUCAAGAUGUAUAGAAUCAUCCAUAGGAAGGUGAUAAAGAAUACAAUUUUUUGAAUAUACCUUAUAAUCUUGUCCAUCUUUUCUUUUAAGCAACAAAAUACUACAAGAAAACAUAUCUUUGAUACAAAAAAUUGUGUGUCAUGUCUUAACAUCAAGUAUUGUAGGUACCUGAUAUUAUAAAUAUACAUAAUCUUAUUUGAAAAAUAUUCACAAUUAAGAUCAAUAAGAUCCACCAUGAAUAUAAGCAAAUCAUAAAAUAUCACAAUAUUAAGUAAUAUAUAAGUUUUUUAUAGCGAGGGGCAUGGCCAUCAUAAAAAACUCUGCUUGAUUAUAUAGACAUUAAGUUUAAAUGUGAUAGUUAUUUAAGUCUAUAAUUAGAGCUAGCUUCUCACAUAUUAAACUUAGUGGAAUUGACUUUUAUCUAUGCAAUAAUUGAUAGGAUAUAUAAGAUGCCAAAGAUGCUUACCUACUAAAGUGAUGAUCUAUUAUAAUCUAUAAUAACAUCAAGUUCUAACUACAAUAGUUGCCAUGAAGUAAUCCAUACUUUUAUAAACCAUGCUUGGUAGUCUAAACAAUCCAUUCAGCUAAGUCAUCUAUUUCAAAAUAAUCUUUAGAAGCAUUAUAAUAAUUUAUCAAAGCUUUAUUAUAAAAAACCUUAAAAGUUCUAAAAAACUCCUUACCUUGAUCUAUUAAGACUUCAGCAAGUAAUUCAAAACAUACCAAAACUUCAUCAAGAAAAGUCGUAAUUGUCAAAUUUGAAGAGUUUUGUGGCAAAGCCACAAGUUCAAUCUAUUUACUAAAUUCUCUAUAAUCAUCAACUUAUAUUUAGCUCUUCUUAAGGUGACAACAAGUGGCCCAAAAAAGUCCAAAGAUCAAUAGUAGGCCAAUCUAUAUUAUAUAAAAGCCUCAAUUGAAGUAAUAAAGUGUAAAAAUUUGAUUUGACUUCAUCACACACUUCUUGUUGAUAUAUGUCAAUCCAUCAAUAUUGGAUGUACAAAAUAAAAUGUGUUCCAUAUACUACAAAAUAUCCAAGCUCUUUAUGUACUUGAUGUAGUAAGGAAGUCCUUUAAUUUGGCCUUGAAACUAUACCUAUUUAUAUUAGACUAUACACAAAAGGACAAAUUAUUUUACAAAAAAAAUCUUAUUAUUUUGUAACUAAUCUUUUUUACUUUCUAUAGUAUAGAUAGCUAAAAGAAAUUUUCUUUGUUGAAGCUUGUGUAAGUCUACAAGAUCGUCAUAUACAUUACUAAUUAUUUAGGUCUUUUUAGAUUUCACAUCUGAGCUUUAAUCAAGUAUGACAAUUAUAGAGUUUGAUAUCAAAUUCAAGUUUGUGGUUACAUAUCAUCCAAGAUUUUCUUCUAUUAUAAUUUCCAUGCCAUCAAGCUCUAUUCAAAUCCUCUUUUAAAAAACUUAAAUUAUAGAAAACUUUGUCUAUAUCCAAAUUAGUGUUAUCUAUUUCAUGUAUAAUCUCAAAGUCAUAUUCUUGAAGCUAUAAAUCCUAUCUAACAAGCUUAAGAGUAAAUUUAUUUAAUUCCAUAAGCCACUUUUAAGGUUAAUAGUUAGUCACCAUUGUAAAUUCUUAUUUAUACAAAUAAGAUAAAAAAUAAGCAAUAGCCUAAAUUAUUGCCAAAGCUUCAUCCUCAUAAGAUGAACAAUUAAAUUCUAUAUUAUUAAUACAAUGACAUAUUUCUAUUUUAUAUCAUUCUUUUAGAUCAAGAUUGUUCCUAAUCUUAGUGCACUCUAAUUUGUGUAUAGUUGGAAAGAUUUAAAUGCAAUUGGACAUUGAAGUAUUAGAGCUGAAUCUAAUUUUUGCUUCAAUAUAUCAAAUGCUUGCUGUCACUUACAAUCCUAAGUCUAUAGAUGAUCUUUGUCCCUGAAAAUAUUUAAAGGCUAGGCAGUAAAGCUUAAAUUCUUGACAAAACUUUGAUAUUAAUUUUUCAAAUCAAAAAAAGUCCAAAAUUGUGAAAUAUCAAUUAGUGCCAAGAUUUUUUUGUAAGGCAUCUAUUUUUACUUGUUGCAUGCCAAUACCUUUUGGAAUAAUCAUGUGGCAUAAGUAUAGUAAUUUUUUGUAGCCAAGUGAGAGUGAAUAAAAUCUAAUAGUAAUAAUAUUCUAAAAAAUUGAAGAAAUAUUUAUUUUUAAUUUUUUUUAACUACUCUAUUUUAAUUUUUUAUACCGAAAAUUGAAGAAGAUGACAUUAUUAUUAAGUGAAAGAUGAAAAAUCUAAAUACUACUACAUUAAGCUCUCUUUCAUACUAUAAAGAAAGAAUUUAAAAAUAUGAAUAUGUAUAAAAAAAACCUUUAAAACUUUAUUAAAAGGCUAAUCACCAAAGCCAAAUAAUAUCUUACAACAAAAGCUAUUUUUUCCUCAAAAUCACUUAUAAGAUUUGACUUGCAAAAAACUUCAAGUCAAGGAGGUUUCUCUACCUGAUUUUUUAAAACUUAAUUAAAACUAAUAAGAUCAAUUAACAAAAAAUGUUAAAUUGAUGAAAAUAAAUUGAAUUAAACUAGAUUAGAUUACAUCUAUUCAACAAGAUUUGGCAUCUAAUGCCACAUCAUGUGACAAUUUUUAUGUAAAUAAAGAUUUUUUUUAUAUAAUAGAUUGAAUGCCAAAAAUUAAUAUAAAACAUGGAAUUUAAAUCAAAUAUAAAUAUAUAACAAACUCACUCUCAAGUGCCUCUCUUUCACUUCUUUUUUCAUUAGAUGCCUCUUCUACUCAACGAGGACAAUAAUAUAAACAUAUUAAAAAUAUAUCAAGCUAAUAUUGUAGCACCUAGACCACCAAAAUGUAUGGCCAAUAUGAAAGAAGGAAUUAUUAAUCUUUGUCAAAUAUUGCUAUAAAAUUGAAAGAUCUCACAACAAAGACAAAUCAUAUUUCUUGAAGAAAUAGUUGAAAGUGGUAGUAUCAAGCAUGCCAUAUAUUAUUUAUGUUAAUAUUAAUCAAAUAAUAGAAUGGUAUCAAUCCAUUUCUUCUUAUUAUAUAUAAAACAAAAAAGACCAUUUAAUAUAAUAGCUAAUUCAAGAUGUAUAGAAUCAUCUAUAGGAAGAUGACAAGGACCACAAUUUUUUUGUAUGCACUUAACACUUUUGUCCAUCAUUUCUUUUAAGAAACAAAAUACUACUAGAAAACAUAUACUAAAUAUACAAAAUUGUGUGCCAUGUCUCAACAUUAAGUAUUGUAGGUACCUCAUAUUACAAAUAUACAUAAUCUUCUUUAAAGAAUCUCCACAAUCAAGGUCAAUAAGCUCUACCAUAAAUGUAAAAAAAUCAUAAAAUAUUAUAAUAUUGAGCAAUAGAUAAAUUCUUUACAACCAUGGCCAUGGCUUUUUUAAAAAACUGUCUUCAAUUAUGUAGAUAUUGAGUCCAAAUGUAAGAAUCAUUCUAAAUCCACAAUUAAAGCUAGCUUCUCAUAUAUUGAACUUAAUGGGAUUGAUUUCUAUCAAUACAUAAAUUGAUGAGGACUAUAAGAUGCUAAAGAUACUUUUUUAUUAAAAUAAUAAUCUAUUGUAAUAUAUAAAAAUAUCAAGUUUUAACCAUAAUUAUUGCUAUAAAAUAAUCCAUAUUUUUGUAAAUAAUGCUUGAUAUUCUAAACAAUCAGUUUAACCAAGUUAUUUAUAUGUCAAGGACAUGAAUUUCAAAAAACCAAAAAUUCAAUACAUUCUUGUGUUAUUCAAAAAGACUAGAUAAUCACUUAAAGAUGGUAUAAUAUUAAACUGGAAUGACUAUUACAAAAGAUAAGAAAACUAGAAUUUCUUGAAAUAAAUAAAAAACAAGAAAGGCAUUAACAAGAGUAAAGAAGGCUUCACUCUUGCCUCUAUAUAUUCUAUCUAACUAAAUGUUAUGUGACAAUGCUUUAUAGGACCUCUGAUACAUAUUCAAUUUGUAAGACAUAUAUCUAAUCUAUAAGAUAAGUUUCAUACAUGUGCACUGCAUAGUUAGGUUGUCCUACAAGCUACUAACACAUGUGACAUAUGGCUAACUUAUUGGCCAAGUUUUUAGCCUAUCAAUCAAUUAUAAAUACAUUUAAAGUUAAAUAUGUGUUUAUAAAGCUUCUAAAAAGCUUUGCCAUAAGAUAAUAUUAAAUUUAAUUAUAUUUAUUUUUUAUCAAGUAAUUUUUAUUUAGAUAAAUAUAUAUAUUUAUGAUAUUAUUUUCUAUUCUAAGAACCAAUUCCAAAAGAAGUGGCAAUUAUAUAUUGACAAAGUCCAAGUUGCAACAAAUUGUAUUUACUACAUACUUUAAUUGUUGUUUCUUUCAAAGGUGGUUGAUAGGUCAUCUUAGCUAUUGAUAGUGUGCCAUAUCAAAGCAAGAAGACCACCUUAUUAUUUGAUUAUUGUUAAGGCCUUCAUAACUCUCUUUAAAUAAAAUAUUUGAAAUAUUUUCGGAGGUGGUUUCUACCUUUAACAAUAUCACCAAGCAUCAGUGUCAUAUUACAUGUGUUCUUGCUUGAGAAUACAUCAGGUGCUUAGCUAUAGAAGAUAAAUAGGAAUGUAAGAACAAUCCUAUCAAAUCUAAUAGAAUCUUAAAUAAUCUUAAAUAGACCUAAAUAAUCUUGAUUGAACUUUGACCAAUUAAAAAUAAAUUUAAAAGAAGUUAUAAAAGAAACACAAAGAAGUCCCAAACUAAUCUUAAAAAAAAAUAAUAAGAAAUCUUAAAGAAUUAUAAAAAUAAACCUUUAAAAAUAUGACCAUAAUAUUAAAGAAAUAUUAGAAAUAAAAAUAUUUAAAGAAAAAAUAAAGAAUCCUAAAGAAAUAUUUAAAAUGAAAAUUCUAAUAUAAUCUUAAUUAAAACCUUAAAUAAAUAUUAAUAAAAUCUUAAGUAAAAUCGUAGGCCAAAUCCUAAUUGAAAUCCUAAUUGAAAUCCUAAUUGAAUUUUAAUCAAAUUUUAGGUCAAAUCCUAAUUAAAAUCCUAAUGAAACCUUAAAUCCUAAAUAAAUUCUAGACUAUUUCUAAAUCAAAUCCUAAACAAAUCCUAGACAAAAUCCAAAACCAACCCUAAUCAAAUCCUAGAUUUUAAACAAACUCUUCACAAAUUCUAUAGCAAAUAGAACUUCAAAAACUAACAAUUGAACCAUUGAUGUCAAUUCAAAUUUUGAAUACUUCUUAAUGUUUUAGUUAUAAACAAGCACAAGAAAGAUGAAAUCGAUUGCACUUACCAAUUGAGAGAAAAACAAGAUAAUUCAAUUGGAUUAUAUGCGACCUCCUACUCUAAUCUGAAUGCUAAACUUUCAAUACUAAUAUUUCCUUCUUGAGUCAUUAAAUUACUUCUAAAUUUUACUUUAAGUAAUAAAAAUCGAAUUUAGUAUCCAUAAAAAAAAAUUACUUCAGGCCAAUUGAUAGAUUACUAAAGAUCAUAGAAAUAUUCACUAACACUCAAAUUCCAAUUUUUGAGACUUCAAUCCACAAAAAUCUUUACAAUCUUUGAUUUAACUAUUUUAUUGAUCUCAAAUUUUUUACAAACAUUAAUAACUAGAACACCAAUAUAUUAUCCAAAAUUCAUCCAAACACAUACCACAAAACUUAAAAAAUCAUCAAAUUUGUAAACAUAUUUUUAUUUUUCUAAAAUCUAAACCAAAUAAGAACAUUACUAACUUUUAAAAUCCUUCAAAAACUCAAUUUUGACAUGAUUGAUCUAAAACCAACGUCCAAAAAUCUUUUUUUAAGUUUUCUUUGAAAUCCUACUUCUUAAUCUUCUAAAGAACCCUUGAGUCACUGUAGGUGCAUAGUUUUGUGUCUUGGAAUUUGAUUUCAACCUAGAUUGACAACUAGUCCUUUCCAAGUAUCAAUUCAUGGCUUCUUGAGGUAAAUUUUGCUAAAAUCUACUCCUAAUUUUCUCCUACAUAUGCCUAUAUUUUUUUUUUAUCUCAUUUAAUUUUAUUUGGCUCAUUUAUGCCUCUACAAAAUAAUUAGAAAUUCUUUCUAUAAAAAAUAGCAUUAAGACUAAAUCUUUUACUACCUUUCUAUUAUUUAUCCUAAAUAUUUUUCUAUUACAACUUUCUACUAGUUUCUUCUAUAAUAACAUCUAUAUUUUUAUUUUUUACUAUAUAAUCAUGUUACUAUAUGUCAUUGGAAGUGUCUUCUAAAGUCAUGAUAUCAAACAUAAUAUAUUUCACCAUGUAAUCAACAAAGAACCUAUUGUUCUUGAUGGACUUCAUUUCUAUUAUAUCAUCUUGAAGGUUGUGACAAUCACAAUGUCUUGUUUUAUACCUCAACAAAUAAUACCUCUUGAGUUGAAUUUGUUGAUUUUUGAUUCUCCAUUUUUUUAAUGCUAUAAGUAUACAAAAAUUACAAACAAAGAUAGAAGGUAGAAUGCAAUCUCCCUCGAACGACAUUUCUUUAUAACAAAGAUGUGUUAUUCUUUAUCUUAAUUUUGAUACAUGUCAUUGAUAAAAAAAAAUUCACUUUUUUUUGUUGCAUUUGCAAGAUUCUUGAUUGACUUCCAUGUAUGUUUAAUAAUAUCAUAUCUAUACUAGUAAACAAAAUAUUCCAACCUAUUUUGAGGCUUCCUUGGUCUAAGACUUCUUCAACCUCAUAUUCUUGAUUAUUAUCUACUUCUACAAAAGAAGGUAGUAUUUUUCUUCUUCUUGAGAUAUUUAUUAUUUUAUAUAGUUUAAAAAAAGAUACAUAGAAUAUGGAAUGAAUUUUCAUAAAUUCCAAUCAAUGUAAUCAAUAAGAAAUAAAAUUAAUUUAUUCACAUACAUAAAAUGAUCCAAGCCUUAAGUAAUCUAAUUUAUCACAAAGAUGGUUAAUCUUGAUAUUAUGACAAAGUAACCAUACCUUCUCGCUAAUGUAGAAUUAAAGUUACUUCUUAUAAUAAACAUUAGUAUUAGUCUUUUUUUAUUCUUGAGUUUUUUUUUUUUGUUUUUGUUUUGUUUUUUUUUUUUUUUUUAAUUAUGUCUUUAUUGUUGUAUGUAGCUCAAAUAAAUGAUUUGUCAAAUCUUUUGCCACAUAAUCAUCAACUUUUAAGAAGUCAAAAGCAUCAAGUCCUAAAUGAUAAUUAUGAUUAGAAAAAAAAAGAUAUUUUUUGUAUAGAAGAAUGUACUAGAUUAUCAUAAAAAAACUUUAUCAAUGGUAAAAUAAUUGUCCAAUCAUGUUAUUAAUAAUUGAUAAUAUACCUCAAAUAUUAUUCUUAAAUUUGAUCCAUUGGCUCUAAUUAUUUAUUAAUUUGAUGAUCAAAAGUUCAAGAUAUUUUAAUAUCAACUUUUAAAAUCUUUAAAAAAAAAUUUCCAAAAUCUUAAUAUAAAUUGAGUCCCUAUAUUCAAUAUAAUAUCCCAUAGCAACUCAUGUUAGGAAUAGAUGUUGUCAAAGAAAAACUUAACUACUUUUUUUUACUUGUAAUAGAUUUUGUACAUAAUAAAAAAUAUAAAAUCUUAAUUUAUUGAUCUAUUAUGAUAAAUAUAAAGUUAUAAGAGUAUAAGACAAGAACAUCCACAUUAAAAUCCAUAAAAAUAAAAGACCAUAGUUAUUCUAAAAUAGAUAAUGGUUGAAGAAAUCCUUAUAAUUAAUAAUGAAGAGUUUUUGAUCUUAAAAAAAUGUCACAUGAUUGCACAAAGUCUUUAAUUGCCUUCUCUAUUUGAGGCCAUCAAAAAUCUCUAAAUAUUAGCUCCAAAAUGUAUCCAAAAUAUGUAGCUGCUAAGAAGUUAUGACAAGUUUGAAUAAAAUAUAAUUACACUUUGUGUUCUAGAACGUAUUAGCGACCUUCAAUAUAAAAUAGACUAUAUUUGAAAUCCAAUUUAGAAGUAUCAUGAGACUUAAAAGAACUAUUUUUAAUAUCAUGAAUAAAAUGAUCAAAAGACAUAUUCAAUUGAACUUGCAUAAGAAAGAUUGAAUCAAUAGUUAAUCUUGAUUUUAUUAUUAGAAGAUGAAAAUACUCUAGCUUCAAGAGAAUUAUUCUUUAUUAGUUAUAAAUUAUAUUUUCUUCUUUGGAUGUAAGAUAAAAAUAUCUAAAAAAGAAGUUUGACAAACCUUGUUAUAUUUUAAAUUAAUAAGUGAUCUUGAAAUCAAAUCUUGAGAAAGACAUGUUUCAAUGAGCUUAGCAAUGAUACAAAAUAAUUGCUAAUAUGAUAUACUCAAGGUUCUUGUAUUUGUAUACACAAUGAUUGAAUUGAAAGUCAUUUUCAAAUAAUAAUGCCAUUUUUGAAAUGAAUCUAUAAUUACAAGAAGCUCUUUAUUAUAGAUAUGAUAGUUGAUCUCGCUUGUUGAAAUUUUUUAGAAUAGAAAGCUACUAAAUGGAACUUGUUAUAUGUUCUAAUUUAUGAUAAUAUUGCUUCUAAAGUAAUGUCAAUACAUUUUUUUUCAUUAAAAUACUUUGGAGAAAUUGUUAUGAUAUAAAAUUGGUAUAGAAAUAAAGUUAUCUUUAUAGCUUCAAAAGAUGAUUUAGCUUCUUUGCUUUACUUAAGUUUUUUUUUUACAUGUAAAACAUAUAAGAGAAAUUAUAACUUGAGAAAAAUUCUUAAUAAAGAUUUGAUAGUUAUUAGUAAUUUUUUUAAAAUAUUGAAUGUUUUUUAUUAUUUUUAGAACCUUCCAAUCUAUGAUGGUAUAAAACUUUUUAAGAUCCAUCAUAAAGGUAUCAUUUGAAAUUAUGUAUCUUAAAAAAUUAACUUAAAUAUUAUAAAAUAUAUAAUUUUUUAUUUUUGCAUAUAAUCUUGUAUAUUUUAUUUUUUAUAAAAUAUGAUAAAUAUGAAAUUCAUAUUAUUUUAUAUUUUUAGAAUAUAUUAGAAUAUUAUCUAGAUAAGAGACAAUAAAGUCAUCAAGAAACUUCUAGAAAACAAUAUUUAUUAGAUGUUGAAAAGUAGCUAUUGCAUAUAUGAGUCUAAAAGGCAUGAUAUUAUAUUUGAAAUGUUCAUACUUGGUUCAAAUAUAAUCUUUCAUUCAUCCUAAUAAUAUCUUAAUCCAAUUAUAACCAAAUCUUAAUUAAAUUUUAAAUAAAUCAUAAUAAAAUUUUAAAAUAAUUUUAAUUAAGUCUAAACUAAAUUCUAAUAUAAUCCUAAAUCAAUCCUAAUUAAAUUUUAAAAAAUCCUAAUCAAAUCUUAACUAUUCUUAAAGAGAUCCUAAAUCCAAUAAAACUUUCAUAUCCUUCAAUUUAAUUGUUUGAUUGAUAUCUCAGUUUUAUACCUAAGGAUUUAAUUUCAAUUCAAGUUCACAAACAUAUCUCUCUAGGUACCAAUUUUUGAUAUUUUGGAAUAAUUUUUAUUAAAACCUAUUCUUAAUUCUAUCUUAUAAAUAUAUAUAUGAUUUAUUUUUUUAAUCUACUUUAAUUUGUCUUAUUCAUAGCCUUACAAAGUAAAUAGAAGCUACUUUAAUAAGAAAGCUUUAUAAAUACUUGUUAAUUUUUACUACAUCUUUGUUUAUCAUCUAUAUUUUUAACAUAAUUUAAUUAAAUAUUUUUAUUUAAGCUCUUCUAUAAUAUAAUAUUUCUUUUCAUCUUUCACAUAAUGGUCAUGUUAUAAUACAAUAUCACAAUACUCCAUCAUUCUUCUUCACAAAUUAAAAAAGAACACUUGCUAGAGAUUUUGAAUGACAUAUAAUGUUUUUAGCCAAAUUCUUGUCAAUAUAUUUCUUAAGUACAGCCAAUUUAUUUUAUAAUAAGCUAUAGAUUGGUUGAAAUGGAGAUUGAGCUCUUUUUUGAAAAUCAAUUGAAGAAUCAUACAAAUAAUACCCUAAAAAGAUAUCUACAUUCUUCUUUUCAAAAACAUCAUAAUAAUCUUGGUAUUGAAUUAGAAUACUAGUAUCAAGAACAUGAAUCUUAAAAAACUAAAAGAUCAAUAUAUACUUGUGUCACUUGAAAAGACUAAAAAAUCACUCAAAGAUGAUAUAGUAUUAAAUUAAAAUGGCUAUUGCCAAAGACAAGAUGACUAAAAAGUCUUAAAAUAAGAUUAAAGAGUAAAAAAGCAUUAACAAGAGUGAAGAAGGCUUUACUCUUAUAUCCAUAUAUACUAUCUAACUAGGAGCUUCAUAGCGAUGUUUUAUAGGACCUCUAAUAUGUGUUGACUUUGUAAGAUACAUGUCUUAACUUGCAAGGCAAGUUUCUUAUAUGUAUAUCACAUCGUUAGCUUAUAUCACAAGCUACUGUCAAAGACAUACUCAUGUAAGCUAGUAAUUACUUAUAUAAAUAGGUAGAAGUAAGUAAAAGUAGAUAAAAGUAAGUUAAUUCUAUAGUAUUUGAUAUGAAAGCUUCUUAGAAGCUUCAUAGAUGCUGCUUUGACUUUAUAGGUAUCUUUAAUUGACUUUUUGGAUUAGAAACGUGGUCAACAAGUUGGCCAUGUGCCACACAUGUUGUUAGCUUGAAGACCAAGCUAAUAAUGUGGCCUACACAUAGAAAAUCUUACCUUGUAAGUCAAGGCAUGUGUCCUACAAAGUCAACACUUAUUGGAGAUCCUAUAGAACGUCACCAUGUAGCCCUUGGUUAGAUAGUAUAUAUAGAGAUAAGAGUGAAGCCUACUUUACUCUUGUCAACCCCUUUCUUGCUUCCAAUCUAAUUUCAAGGGUUUCUAGUUUUCUUGUCUUUUGGCAAUAGCCAUUCUAGUUUCUCUUUUAAUAUACAUACUUGUUUAUUUAUAUUUUUUUACCUUUCUUUGAGUGAAGGCUCACUUAUUUGAAUUGCUUUUUCAUCGAGUUCUUAUCCUUGACAGAUUGAUAAGAGUAUACCUACAAUAUCAGAGCUUUGUCUAAUCUUGAUUAAGAGUGGAUUAUCUUUUUUUUUUGAUAAGAUAUAAGCAUAUUAGAAGAUGCGGAUUACCCUCUUCUAAACUAAUAUUGUCCUUCGUAUUCUCUUUAUUCUCAAGUCCUCUCUUCUAUUUGUCUAAUAUGAUAUUAGACAUCUUCUCUUUUUUAAGUGUUAUCAUGACAAAACUUGCUGAAAUGAAGAGUGCAAUGGCACAAAUGCAAGAGCAAUUGAGAAAGUUAAUGCUAAUGAUGCAUCAACUCAAUUUACCACCACAAGGAGCAACAAGAUUGGCAGGAAGUAAAGAUAUAGAAAUGGUUGGAGCUGCUUCAACAUCUGCACCAAAUCAUGUCCUUUCUCCUAUGGUAGAACAUCCUUCUAGUGUUGAGAACUAAGAAUUGCUCUACUUAAGAAGUUUGAUGGCACAAGAUUGAAGUUACGAUGAUUUAUCAAUCAAGUACAACUUGUGAUUGAACUUCAACCCCAAAGCUAUCCAACUCCAGGAUCACAAGUUAGAUUCAUUAGUACGCUUCUUUCAGAUUCAGCACUAUCGUAGUUUUCAUCUUUUUUUGAACGACGAGAUCUAAUAUUAGAUAAUCUAGAGGCUUUUCAGGUGGAGUUUCAAUCCAUGUAUAGAGAUCAUGAUGCAAUUCGUCUUGCAACCAAUAAGAUCCAUAUUUUAUGACAAAAAAAUUGAUCAGUAACGUUGUAUGUUUCACAAUUUUGACAACUUGCAACUGAUAUCAAGUGGGAUGAUGUUGCACUUAUUAGUCAAUUUUUUUACGGAUUAUAAUAUGAGGUAAAAAAAUUAAUGCUCAACUUACCUGAUCCUCAAACAUUGAAUCAAGCAAUUGACUUUGCUGUGAAGUGCGACAAUUGCCUUUUUGAAUUUCGAUCCUAGAACCAUACAAGUAGACCUCAACGUUACUAUAAUUCAAUGGCAACUCCAACACGUCUUCAACACAUACAUUUGAAAGUAGAGGAUAUGCAAAUUGAUCCAAUACGUUUCAAACCUCUUACUAAGCAAGAAAAGACUUGUCGUCGUCAAGAAGGAUUAUGUUUAUAUUGUGGAGAAUCAAAACACACUGCUCAACAUUGUCCAACGAAAUGAUGCAACCACAAAAUGAGGAUUAUGGCUCUCAAAGAAGACAAUAUGUCAGAAAACGAGUUUGUCCAACUACAAUAGGGACCGUGGGGCUUGAACCUUGCACAACAUCUAGUAAAGGUCUUAUUUUCUCCUCAGAGCCUUCUCCUUGUUUUACAUUAAAUGUUAUUUUAGGACCUAAAUAUUACAAAGCCUUUGCCUUGUUAGUUUCAGGAGCCUCAACAUGUUUC